GGGGUUCUACUUUAAAGUCGUGGUCGUGGACAAUUUGGGAUUUAUUAAGCCAUGUUUUGGGAAUUUUUGUAGUUGCUAGGCUGUGGUUCUAUGUGCUGAGGAGGGAGGCGCUGCUGCUCAUGUUGCUGUUGCUGGAGUCCUCACUUUAUUUGUUAAGACUAUGUAAUGACCGAAUGAUGUUAUUUGUUUGUGUCAUCCUUGACUCUUUACCUACCGCAUGUAAUCCUGCAAUCGGUACUAGUAAUGUUAUCGUUAUUAAAAACUGUUUACUCUUUUUUUAGCAAUAACCUCUGCUUAUUAGUCAAGGAGUAGUUAUCUACUUGUGAUCGUUCGCAUAUCUAGUUUGCCGUAUUACUCGGGUAUCAGGAUAUGGCAUCUGCAGUGCUUUCUGAAAUUCCCAUUCUCAGUACUGAGUGAAACUAAGAUACUGGGUUACCUGUAAAUCCUGUCAGUGUAACGUGAAAAUUUGCAUCCUCCCAGAGAUUGGGAAAGAGUAAAUAAUGGUGAAUGUUAUCCCAGUUGUUAGGACGGAGCUCAUCAGAUGCUCAUCAGAUCUGUCCCAUUCGCUUCGUAACCCCCUCCCCUUCCACAACCGUCAACUAACGGCCAGCACACCACGCCANNNNNNNNNNNNNNNNNNNNNNNNNNNNNNNNNNNNNNNNNNNNNNNNNNNNNNNNNNNNNNNNNNNNNNNNNNNNNNNNNNNNNNNNNNNNNNNNNNNNNNNNNNNNNNNNNNNNNNNNNNNNNNNNNNNNNNNNNNNNNNNNNNNNNNNNNNNNNNNNNNNNNNNNNNNNNNNNNNNNNNNNNNNNNNNNNNNNNNNNNNNNNNNNNNNNNNNNNNNNNNNNNNNNNNNNNNNNNNNNNNNNNNNNNNNUGAAUAUUUUUGCAAGUUUUAGUGCAUCUUUCUUUUUUAAAUUUUUAUCACAACAAAGAAUACAAUAUAAUAUAUAUUUAAGAGCCUUAAAUAGAAUUUUUUUGCAAGUUUUAGUGCAUCUUUCUUUUUUAAAAUUUUAUCACAACAAAGAAUACAAUAUAAUAUAUUUAAGAGCCUUAAAUAUGCAGAGCUCACACAAUAUAACAUGUAUCACACUCGAGUAGUUUCACAUAGUUUCACAAAUAGCAAAAUAUGCAAAGCUCACAUAUUAAUAAAGGUUGAACUAAUAGACAUGUCAUACAUAGCAAAUAGCAAACGGUUCCACAUAGUUUCACAAAUAGCAAAUAGCAAACUUGUCCACAUAGUUUGACAACCCCAACUAAUGCAAGUAGUUUCGCAAACAGUUUCACAAAGCCAACAAACGGUUCCACAUAGUUUCUCUCCAACUAACACAAGUAGGCUAACAAGCCAAGACCACAAUUACAUGCUUCUUCCUCUCUUGGAGGUACGGUCCUCGUUCUUCUUUGAACGAGUCUCUUCAGGCUUCUUCUCGCGCCCUCCUCGAGGAAUCGGUUUUUGGAAUGGGGAUGGACUCUGCAAAUCCUUCUUUGGCUGAUUUCUCUUCAGAAGCUGAGAUGGUUGAGUUGGUGGAGGUCCGUAAUCUUCAUCGUACUCCUCCCCAUUGCUCUCCUCCUCCUCCUCAACCAACCUAGCCGAAGAGGCAGCAUGGCUUGAUGAAGCAAUGUUACCUUGUGUGGCUGCAGGAUCAUGAGCUUCAACCGAGCCAGCACACUCAAGCAGGCCUACCAGCUUGCGACAAUGCUUGACGAACUUCUGCAGUCACAAUGAAACAAGGACAUAAUACUGAUCAGAUUUAUGAUUGCAAAUGAACAAGAACAUAGGUUAUUUCUAGGCGCCUGAAAUAUUACCUUCACCGUCUCCCUCAUGAUAUUCUCAGAAUCUCCGUUCCCUGGGGGACGACCUAGUGCAUUCGAGCCAUCGAAGAUGCAUCUGCUCAGCUCGCCGGACUGUAAAAGCAAUGAGUCACAAUGACGAAUAAAAUAAAUUACAUACAACCGCCGGUUCAAGACAGAAGAACACAACUUACCACUCUAUUGACCAGGGGUGCAAACUCCCUAAAUCCACUCAUGUCUCUGAUGCUGGCCUGGUAGGCCUCUUCCUCGGGGGCAUCCAUCUCCAGCUCUGCGAUAUCUUCUGUCGUCCACCUAGGCCUGAGACGAAGACGAUGCUUCUGGCCAUCAUCGUACCACCUCAUGUGUUGGGCGUAAUCAUCCCAGUCAAUCACUCGCCUCUCCCCAUCUUUAUGCCACCUGCGCCGGUUCCACUCUGUCACAAAAGUUUUAUGCUGCUCUCCCCAUGCUGUGAUCAACUGAUUUUUCUUCCGGCUCAUCCUACAAGGCAUAAACAACACAAAACAUCAUAAGAAGGUCAAACGCAACGAAAUCAUGGUAACGGAGAACAAUGCACUCACAAGUGGAGUUCGUGGCCACCGGUAUCGUUCGACAUGCCCGGUGGUGUAUGCUGGUAGAUCCCAAACUGCGCGGCCACGCGGUGUGGCAAGUGCCACUCAACGACGUACACACAUAGCAUGGGCACCAUGCACCGCCAAAGACCGCGAUCCUCCUCGCACAUCACGUUCAGCUCGAUGAGAAGGUACCACAGGUAGGCCCUCGCGUAUUGCUCCACCAUACCCUCAUCGGCAUUUACGGGGCAUUUCUUUCGGUUGUUCAGGAGCCAGGGCAGCGAUACACCGGAUGUCCGGUUACCUUAGCGUCGGGGUAGUCACCGAUGAGGGUGGUAACCCUCUGCUGCCAUUUUGAACAAACAUGAAACAUAUCAAGUCCAAAUAUAAAUGAAUCAUAUUCAACCGACAUGAAUCAUAUCAUUUUCAUCAAUUAUAACUUAUUCAACCAACAUUCAUCAAUUAUCAUAUAUUCAACCAAUAUAAAUGAUCAAUGCGAAUGAAUCAUAUUCAACCAACAUCUUUCAUUCAACAACCAUCACUCAUGCACUUGUUUAUUCAACAUUGCUAAAAAAUGCAUAUACAUAAUUCACCAAAAUCCAUCAUAUGACCAUUUGUUCAAAAAAUAUGCAUAUACAUAAUUCAAUCGUAUGUAGGCAACUACUUACAAUCCCUCCAACAUCAAUCAUGUGACCAUUUGUUCAAAACAAAUCUGAAUCUCCAACUAGGGUUCAUAUAAAAACUAGGGUUCGUAUAAAAACUACAUAUAAUCUCCACAACUAUUCCCUCUAAAUAUAAGUCUUUCGAGAGAUUUCAAUAUGGACUACAUACAGAGCAAAAUGAGUGAAUCUACACUCUAAACUAUGUCUAUAUACAUAUGUAUGUAGUCCAUAUUGAAAUCUCUACAAAGACUUAUAUUUAGGAACGAAGGGAGUAGUUAUUAGAGUUCAUAUUGAACCCUAUACACAUCAUAUACAAUGAACCUAAGCAAUCCUAAGAUAAAAAAGUAAGACAAUAGGGUUGUUUUGCACCAAAUAAUGCAUCGAAUUGAAAAUGUUUCGAGUAAAACUAAUUGGAGGGAUUGAUAGAGCUUACUUUUCCCGUUUCGGAGCCAUCUCGAUCCGCAAAAAUGGUGGCAAAACGAAGAAGAUCGAAGGGGGGAGUGGAGUGGAUGAGAGAGGGCUUGUGCUCUCUGUUCUUGCAGCGCUGCAUGGUUGGGGAGAAGAAGAUGGGGGCUGGUUGGUGGGUGGGCCCCACGUGCCUCCCCACGCGGGCUUAUAAGGAUUCAGCCCCUACCGCCAUGGUCUAUGACCGUAGGGUUGCAUAGCCUACUGCCGUUAGCUCUCGCGGUAGGGUGGACGGCAGGAGACGGUUUCGUUUACUUGAGGCUGACGUGGAUGAGUGGCCUACCGCCAUACCCUGUGGUGGUAGUGAAGGAAAUAUGCCCUAGAGGCAAUAAUAAAGUUAUUAUUUAUUUCCUUAUUUCAUGAUAAAUGCUUAUUAUUCAUGCUAGAAUUGUAUUAACCGGAAACUUAGUACAUGUGUGAAUACAUAGACAAACAGAGUGUCACUAGUAUGCCUCUACUUGACUAGCUCGUUAAUCAAAGAUGGUUAAGUUUCCUAGCCAUAGACAUGAGUUGUCAUUUGAUGAACGGGAUCACACCAUUAGAGAAUGAUGUGAUUGACUUGACCCAUCCAUUAGCUUAGCACGAUGAUCGUUUAGUUUGUUGCUAUUGCUUUCUUCAUGACUUAUACAUGUUCCUAUGACUUAUGCAGCUCCCGAAUACCGGAGGAACACUUUGUGUGCUAUCAAACGUCACAACGUAACUGGGUGAUUAUAAAGAUGCUCUAUAGGUGUCUCCGAUGGUGUUUGUUGAGUUGGCAUAGAUCGAGAUUAGGAUUUGUCACUCCGUGUUUCGGAGAGGUAUCUCUGGGCCCUCUCGGUAAUGCACAUCACUAUAAGCCUUGCAAGCAAUGUGACUAAUGAGUUAGUUGCGGGGUGAUGCAUUACGGAACGAGUAAAGAGACUUGCGGGUAACGAGAUUGAACUAGGUAUUGAGAUACCGACGAUCGAAUCUCGGGCAAGUAACAUACCGAUGACAAAGGGAACAACGUAUGUUGUUAUGCGGUUUGACCGAUAAAGAUCUUCGUAGAAUAUGUAGGAACCAAUAUAUAUGAGCGUCCAGGUUCCGCUAUUGGCUAUUGACCGGAGAUGAGUCUCGGUCAUGUCUACAUAGUUCUCGAACCUGUAGGGUCCGCACGCUUAACAUUCGGUGACGAUCGGUAUUAUGAGUUUAUGUGUUUUGAUGUACCGAAGGUUGUUCGGAGUCCCGGAUGUGAUCACGGACAUGACGAGGAGUCUCGAAAUGGUUGAGACAUAAAGAUUGAUAUAUUGGACAACUAUGUUUGGACUUCGGAAUGGUUCCGGGUGAAAUCGGGAUUUUACCGGAGUACCGGGAGGUUACCGGAACCCCCCGGUAAGUGUAUGGGCCUUAUUGGGCCUUAGUGGAAUAGAGGAGGAGGAAGCCUAGGUGGGGGCGCGCCCCCCCAAGCCCAAUCCGAAUUGGGUGAGGGGGCCGGCCCCCCUUUCNNNNNNNNNNNNNNNNNNNNNNNNNNNNNNNNNNNNNNNNNNNNNNNNNNNNNNNNNNNNNNNNNNNNNNNNNNNNNNNNNNNNNNNNNNNNNNNNNNNNNNNNNNNNNNNNNNNNNNNNNNNNNNNNNNNNNNNNNNNNNNNNNNNNNNNNNNNNNNNNNNNNNNNNNNNNNNNNNNNNNNNNNNNNNNNNNNNNNNNNNNNNNNNNNNNNNNNNNNNNNNNNNNNNNNNNNNNNNNNNNNNNNNNNNNNNNNNNNNNNNNNNNNNNNNNNNNNNNNNNNNNNNNNNNNNNNNNNNNNNNNNNNNNNNNNNNNNNNNNNNNNNNNNNNNNNNNNNNNNNNNNNNNNNNNNNNNNNNNNNNNNNNNNNNNNNNNNNNNNNNNNNNNNNNNNNNNNNNNNNNNNGGCACCCCAUAGACACACAAGUUGAUCAUUGAUCUCUUAGCCGUGUGCGGUGCCCCCCUCCACCAUAAUCCACCUCGGUCAUAUCGUAGCGGUGCUUAGGCGAAACCCUGCGUUGGUAACUUCAUCAUCACCGUCAUCACGCCGUCGUGCUGACGAAGCUCUCCCUCGAAACUCUACUGGAUCGUGAGUUCGUGGGACGUCGCCGAGCUGAACGUGUGCAGUCCGCGGAGGUGACGUACCUUCGGUGCUAGGAUCGGUCGAUCGUGAAGACGUACGACUACAUCAACCGCGUUAUCAUAACGCUUCCGCUUACGGUCUACGAGGGUACGUUGACAACACUCUCCCCUCUGGUUGCUAUGCAUCACCAUGAUCUUGCGUGUGCGUAGGAAAAUUUUGAAAUUACUACGUUCCCCAACAGUGGCAUCCGAGCCAGGUUUAUGCGUAGAUGUUGUAUGCACGAGUAGAACACAAGUGAGUUGUGGGCGAUACUAGUCAUACUGCUUACCAGCAUGUCAUACUUUGAUUCGGCGGUAUUGUUGGAUGAAGCGGCCCGGACCGACAUUACGCAUACGCUUAUGCGAGACUGGUUCUACCGACGUGCUUCGCACACAGGUGGCUGGCGGGUGUCAGUUUCUCCAAGUUUAGUUGAAUCGAGUGUGGCUACGCCUGGUCCUUGUUGAAGGUUAAAACAGCACAUACUUGACGAAAUAUCGUUGUGGUUUUUGAUGCGUAGGUAAGAACGGUUCUUGCUUAGCCCGUAGCAGCCACAUAAAACUUGCAACAACAAAGUAGAGGACGUCUAACUUGUUUUUGCAGGGCAUGUUGUGAUGUGAUAUCUUCAAGGAAUGAUGCUAUAUUUUAUUGUAUGAGAUGAUGAUGUUUUGUAACGGAGUUAUCGGCAACUGACAGGAGCCAUAUGGUUGUCGCUUUAUUGUAUGCAAUGCAAUCGCCCUAUAAUUGCUUUACUUUAUCACAAAGCGGUAGCGAUAGUCGUAGAAGCAAUAGUCGGCGAGACGACAAAGAUGCUACGACGGAGAUCAAUGUGUCGCGCCGGUGACGAUGGUGAUCAUGACGGUGCUUUGGAGAUGGAGAUCAAAGGAACAAGAUGAUGAUGGCCAUAUCAUAUCACUUGUAUUGAUUGCAUGUGAUGUUUAUCCUUUAUGCAUCUUAUUCUGCUUUGAUUGACGGUAGCAUUAUAAGAUGAUCUCUCACAAAAAUUCAAGGUACAAGUGUUCUCCCUGAGUAUGCACCGUUGCCAAAGUUCGUCGUGCCGAGACACCACGUGAUGAUCGGGUGUGAUAAGCUCAACGUUCUUAUACAACGGGUGUAAGCCAGUUUUGCACACGCAGAAAUACUCAGGUUAAACUUGACGAGCCUAGCAUAUGCAGAUAUGGCCUCGGAACACUGGAGACCGAAAGGUCGAGCGUGAAUCAUAUAGUAGAUAUGAUCAACAUAGUGAUGUUCACCAUUUAAAACUACUCCAUCUCACGUGAUGAUCGGACAUGGUUUAGUUGAUUCACGUGAUCAUUUAGAUGACUAGAGGGAUGUCUAUCUAAGUGGGAGUUCUUAAGUAAUAUGAUUAAUUGAACUUAUUUAUCAUGAACUUAGUCCUGGUAGUAUUAGCAUAUCUAUGUUGUAGAUCAAUAGCUCGCGUUUAGCUCCCCUGUUUUAUUUUUGAUAUGUUCCUAGAGAAAACUAAGUUGAAGAUGUUAGUAGCAAUGAUGCGGAUUGGAUCUGUGAUCUGAGGAUUAUCCUCAUUGUUGCACAGAAGAAUUAUGUCCUUGAUGCACCGCCAAGUGAUAGACCGAUUGCAGGAGCAAAUGCAGACGUUAUGAACGUUUGGCAAGAUCGAUAUGAUGACUACUUGAUAGUUUAGUACACCAUGCUUUACGGCUUAGAAUCGGGGCUUCAAAGACGUUUUUGAAACGCCACGGAGCAUAUGAGAUGUUCCAAGAGUUGGAAUUAGUAUUUCAGACUCAUGCCCAUGUCGAAAGGUAUGAGACCUUUGACAAGUACUUUGCCUACAAGAUGGAGGAGAAUAGCUCAGCCAGUGAGCAUGUGCUCAGAAUGUCUGAGUACUACAAUCACUUGAAUCAAGUGGGAGUUAAUCUUCCAGAUAAGAUAGUGAUUGACAGAGUUCUCUAGUCACUAUCACCAAGUUACUAGAACUUUGUGAUGAACUAUAAUAUGCAAGGGAUAACAGAAACGAUUCCCAAGCUCUUCUUGAUGUUGAAAUCGACGAAGGUAGAAAUCAAGAAAAACAUCAAGUGUUGAUGGUUGACAAGACCACUAGUUUCAAGAAAAGGGCAAAGGGAAGAAGGGGAACUUCAAGAAGAACGGCUAGCAAGUUGCUGCUCAAGUGAAGAAGCCCAAGUCUGGACCUAAGCCUGAGACUGAGUGCUUCUACUGCAAUGGAAAUGGUCACUGGAAGUGGAACUACCCUAGAUACUUGGCGGAUAAGAAGGAUGGCAAGGUGAACAAAGGUAUAUUUGAUAUACAUGAUAUUUAUGUGUACUUUACUAGUGUUUAUAGCAACCCCUCGGUAUUUGAUACUGGUUCAGUUGCUAAGAGUAGUAACUCGAAACGGGAGUUGCAGAAUGAACAGAAACUAGUUAAGGGUGAAGUGACGAUGUGUGUUGGAAGUAGUUCCAAGAUUGAUAUGAUCAUCAUCGCACACUCCCUAUACUUUCGGGAUUAGUGUUGAACCUAAAUAAAUGUUAUUUGGUGUUUUGCGUUGAGCAUGAAUAUGAUUUGAUCAUGUUUAUUGCAAUACGGUUAUUCAUUUAAGUUAGAGAAUAAUUGUUGUUCUAUUUACAUGAAUAAAACUUUCUAUGGUCAUACACCCAAUGAAAAUGGUUUGUUGGAUCUCGAUCGUAGUGAUACACAUAUUCAUAAUAUUGAAGCCAAAAGAUGCAAAGUUAAUAAUGAUAGUGCAACUUAUUUGUGGCACUGCCGUUUUGGUCAUAUUGGUAUAAAACGCAUGAAGAAACCCCAUGCUAAUGGGCUUUUGGAAUCACUUGAUUAUGAAUCACUUGAUGCUUGCGAACCAUGCCUCAUGGGCAAGAUGACUAAAGACUCCGUUCUCUGGAACAAUGGAGCGAGCAACUGACUUAUUGGAAAUAAUACAUACUGAUGUAUGCGGUCCGAUGAGUGUUAAGGCUCGCGGCGGGUAUCGUUAUUUUCUGACCUUCACAGAUGAUUUGAGCAGAUAUGGGAAUAUCUACUUGAUGAAACACAAGUCUGAAACAUUUGAAAAGUUCAAAGAAUUUCAGAGUGAAGUGGAGAAUCAUCGUAACAAGAAAAUAAUAGUUUCUACGAUAUGAUCGCGGAGGUAAAAUAUUUGAGUUACGAGUUUGGUCUUCAGUUAAAACAAUGUGAAAUAGUUUCACUACUCACGCCACCUGGAACACCACAGUGUAAUGGUGUGUCCGAACGUCGUAAUUGUACUUUAUUAGAUAUGGUGCGAUCUCUGAUGUCUCUUACCAAUCUACCACUAUCGUUUUGGGGUUAUGCAUUAGAGACAACUACAUUCACGUUAAAUAGGGCACCGUCUAAAUCCGUGGAGUUGACACCGUAUGAACUGUGGUUUGGCGAGAAACCUAAGCUGUCGUUUCUUAAAGUUUGGGACUGCGAUGCUUAUGUAAAAAAGUUUCAACAUGAUAAGCUCGAACCCAAAUCGGAGAAGUAAAUCUUCAUAGGAUACCCAAAAAGAAACUAUUGGGUACACCUUCUAUCACAGUUCCGAAGGCAAGAUCUUUGUUGCUAAGAAUGGAUCCUUUCCAGAGAAGGAGUUUCUCUCAAAAGAAGUGAGUGGGAGGAAAGUAGAACUUGAUGAGGUAACUGUACCUUCUCCCGAAUUGGAAAGUUGUUCAUCACAGAAAUCAGUUCCAGUGAUGCCUACACCAAUUAGUGAGGAAGUUAAUGAUGAUGAUCAUGAAACUUCAGAUCAAGUUACUACCGAACCUCGUAGGUCAACCAGAGUAAGAUCCGCACCAGAGUGGUACGGUAAUCCUGUUCUGGAGGUCAUGUUACUUGACCAUGACGAACCUACGAACUAUGAGGAAGCGAUGAUGAGCCCAGAUUCCGCGAAAUGGUUUAAGGCCAUGAAAUCUGAGAUAUGAUCCAUGUAUGAGAGAAAGUAUGGACUUUGAUUGACUUGCCUGAUGAUCGGUGAGCCAUUAAGAAUAAAUGGAUAUUCAAGAGGAAGACGGAUGUUGAUAGUAGUGUUACUAUCUACAAAGCUCGAAUUGUCGCAAAAGGUUUUCGACAAGUUCAAGGUGUUGUCUAUGAUGAGAUUUUCUCACUCGUAUCGAUGCUUAAGUCUGUCCGAAUCAUGUUAGCAAUUGCCGCAUUUUAUGAAAUCUGGCAAAUGGAUAAACAAAAUUGCAUUCCUUAAUGGAUUUAUUAAAGAAGAGUUGUAUAUGAUACAACCAGAAGGUUUUGUCAAUCCUAAAGGUGCUAACAAAGUAUGCAAGCUCCAGCGAUCCAUCUAUGGACUGGUGCAAGCAUCUCGGAGUUGGCAUAUACGCUUUGAUAAGUUGAUCAAAGCAUAUAGCUUUAUACAGACUUGCGGUGAAGCCUGUAUUUACAAGAAAGUGAGUGGGAGCACUACAGCCUUUCUGAUAAGUAUAUGUGAAUGACAUAUGGUUGAUUGGAAAAGAUGUAGAGUUUUCUGGAAAGCAUAAAGGAGUGUUUGAAAGGAGUUUUUCAACGAAAGACCUCGGUGAAGCUUCUUACACAUUGAGCAUCAAGAUCUAUAGAGAUAGAUCAAGAACGCCUGAUAAGUUUUUUCAAUGAGUACAUACCUUGACAAGUUUUUGAAGUAGUUCAAAAUGGAACAGUCAAAGAAAGAGUUCUUGCCUGUGUUGCAAGGUGUGAAGUUGAGUAAGACUCAAAACCCGACCACGACAGAAGAUAGAGAGAGAAUGAGAGUCAUUCCCUAUGCCUCAGCCAUAGGUUCUAUAAAGUAUGCCGUGCUGUGUACCAUACCUAUUGUAUACCCUGCCCUGAGUUUGGCAAGGGAGUACAAUAGUGAUCUAGGAGUAGAUCACUGGACAUUGGUCAAAAUUAUCCUUAGAGGACUAAGGAAAUAUUUCUCGGUUAUGGAGGUGAUAAAGAGUUCAUCGUAAAGAGUUACAUCGAUGCAAGCUUUGACACUGAUCUGGAUGACUCUGAGUCUUGAUCUGGAUACAUAUUGAAAGUGGGAGCAUUUGGCUAGAGUAGCUCCGUGCAGAGCAUUGUAGACAUAGAAAUUUGCAAAUUACAUACGGAUCUGAAUGUGACAGACCCGUUGACUAAACUUCUCUCACAAGAUAAACAUGAUCACACCUUAGUACUCUUCGGGUGUUAAUCACAUAGCGAUGUGAACUAGAUUAUUGACUCUAGUAAACCCUUUCGGUAUUGGUCACAUGACGAUGUGAACUAUGGGUGUUAAUCACAUGGUGAUGUGAACUAUUGGUGUUAAAUCACAUGAGGAUGUGAACUAGAUUAUUGACUCUAGUGCAAGUGGGAGACUGAAGGAAAUAUGCCCUAGAGGCAAUAAUAAAGUUAUUAUUUAUUUCCAUAUUUCAUGAUAAAAUGUUUAUUAUUCAUGCUAGAAUUGUAUUAACCGGAAACUUAGUACAUGUGUGAAUACAUAGACAAACAGAGUGUCACUAGUAUGCCUCUACUUGACUAGCUCGUUAAUCAAAGAUGGUUAAGUUUCCUAGCCAUAGACAUGAGUUGUCAUUUGAUGAACGGGAUCACAUCAUUAGAGAAUGAUGUGAUUGACUUGACCCAUCCAUUAUCUUAGCACGAUGAUCGUUUAGUUUGUUGCUAUUGCUUUCUGUUGGGAAUCGUAGCAUAAUUUUAAAAUUUUCCUACGCUCACCAAGAUGCAUCUAUGGAGUAUACUAGCAACGAGGGGAAAGGAGUGCAUCUACAUACCCUUGUAGAUCGCGAGCGGAAGCGUUCCAAUGAACGUGGAUGACGGAGUCGUACUCGCCGUGAUCCAAAUGCGUUCAACACACGUACGGUGCAGCGACGUCUCCUCCUUCUUGAUCCAGCAAGGGGGAAGGAGAGGUUGAUGGAGAUCCAGCAGCACGACGGCGUGGUGGUGGAUGUAGCGGGAUGCCGGCAGGGCUUCGCCGACCAUAUACGAGAGAGAGAGGUGUUGCAGGGGGAGAGGGAGGCGCCCAAGGCUGUAAUGCUACUGCCCUCCCUCCCCCCCUUUAUAUAGGCCCCCUGGGAGGGGGGGCGCUGGCCAGAACCCAUCUAGGGUGGGGGGGGCGGCGGCCAGGGGGGUAACUUACCCCCCAAGGCAAGUGGGAAGCCCCCCCACCCUAGGGUUCCCAACCCUAGGCGCAUGGGGGGAGGCCCAUGGGGGGGCGCCCAACCCACUAGGGGCUGGUUCCCUUCCCACUUCAGCCCACGGGGCCCUCCGGGAUAGGUGGCCCCACCCGGUGGACCCCUGGGACCCUUCCGGUGGUCCCGGUACAAUACCGGUAACCCCCGAAACUUUCCCGGUGGCCGAAACUUGACUUCCUAUAUAUAAUUCUUUACCUCCGGACCAUUCCGGAACUCCUCGUGACGUCCGGGAUCUCAUCCGGGACUCCUAACAACUUUCGGGUUUCCGCAUACACAUAUCUCUACAACCCUAGCGUCACCGAACCUUAAGUGUGUAGACCCUACGGGUUCGGGAGACAUGCAGACAUGACCGAGACGCCUCUCCGGUCAAUAACCAACAACGGGAUCUGGAUACCCAUGUUGGCUCCCACAUGUUCCACGAUGAUCUCAUCGGAUGAACCACGAUGUCGAGGAUUCAAUCAAUCCCGUAUACAAUUCCCUUUGUCAAUCGGUAUGUUACUUGCCCGAGAUUCGAUCGUCGGUAUCCCAAUACCUUGUUCAAUCUCGUUACCGGCAAGUCUCUUUACUCGUACCGUAAUGCAUGAUCCCGUGACUAACGCCUUAGUCACAUAGAGCUCAUUAUGAUGAUGCAUUACCGAGUGGGCCCAGAGAUUCCUCUCCGUCAUACGGAGUGACAAAUCCCAGUCUCGAUCCGUGCCAACCCAACAGACACUUUCGAAGAUACCCGUAGUGCACCUUUAUAGUCACCCAGUUACGUUGUGACGUUUGGCACACCCAAAGCACUCCUACGGUAUCCGGGAGUUGCACGAUCUCAUGGUCUAAGGAAAAGAUACUUGACAUUGGAAAAGCUCUAGCAAACGAAACUACACGAUCUUUUAUGCUAUGCUUAGGAUUGGGUCUUGUCCAUCACAUCAUUCUCCUAAUGAUGUGAUCCCGUUAUCAAUGACAUCCAAUGUCCAUAGUCAGGAAACCAUGACUAUCUGUUGAUCAACGAGCUAGUCAACUAGAGGCUUACUAGGGACACGUUGUGGUCUAUGUAUUCACACAUGUAUUACGAUUUCCGGACAAUACAAUUAUAGCAUGAACAAUAGACAAUUACCAUGAACAAAGAAAUAUAAUAAUAACCAUUUAUUAUUGCCUCUAGGGCAUAUUUCCAACAGUCUCCCACUUGCACUAGAGUCAAUAAUCUAGUUACAUUGUGAUGAAUCGAACACCCAUUGCGUCCUGGUGUUGAUCAUGUUUUGCCCUAGGGAGAGGUUUAGUCAACGGAUCUGCUACAUUCAGGUCCGUAUGUACUUUACAAAUAUCUAUGUCUCCAUUUUCAACACUUUCACGAAUGGAGUUGAAGCGACGCUUGAUAUGCCUAGUCUUCCUGUGAAACCUGGGCUCCUUCGCAAGUGCAAUAGCUCCAGUGUUGUCACAGAAGAGAGUCAUCGGGCCCGACGCAUUGGGAAUCACCCCUAGGUCGGUAAUGAACUCCUUCAUCCAGACCGCUUCCUGUGCUGCCUCCGAGGCUGCCAUGUACUCCGCUUCACAUGUAGAUCCCGCCACGACGCUUUGCUUGCAACUGCACCAGCUUACUGCUCCUCCAUUCAAAAUAUACACGUAUCCGGUUUGUGACUUCGAGUCAUCCAGAUCCGUGUCGAAGCUAGCGUCGACGUAACCCUUUACGACGAGCUCUUCGUCACCUCCAUAAACGAGAAACAUAUCCUUGGUCCUUUUCAGGUACUUCAGGAUAUUCUUGACCGCUGCCCAGUGUUCCAUGCCGGGAUUACUUUGGUACCUUCCUACCAAACUUACGGCAAGGUUUACAUCAGGUCUGGUACACAGCAUGGCAUAUAUAAUAGACCCUAUGGCCGAGGCAUAGGGGAUGACACUCAUCUUUUCUCUAUCUUCUGCCGUGGUCGGGCAUUGAGCCGUGCUCAAUUGCACACCUUGCAAUAUAGGCAAGAACCCCUUCUUGGACUGAUCCAUAUUGAACUUCUUCAAUAUGUUGUCAAGGUAUGUACUCUGUGAAAGACCAAUGAGGCGUCUUGAUCUAUCUCUAUAGAUCUUGAUGCCUAAUAUAUAAGCAGCUUCUCCAAGGUCCUUCAUUGAAAAACACUUAUUCAAAUAGGCCUUUAUACUUUCCAAGAAUUCUAUAUCAUUGCCCAUCAAUAGUAUGUCAUCCACAUAUAAUAUGAGAAAUGCUACAGAGCUCCCACUCACUUUCUUGUAAACACAGGCUUCUCCAUAAGUCUGUGUAAACCCAAACGCUUUGAUCAUUUCAUCAAAGCGAAUGUUCCAACUCCGAGAUGCCUGCACCAGCCCAUAGAUUGAGCGCUGGAGCUUGCAUACUUUGUUAGCAUUCUUAGGAUCGACAAAACCUUCCGGCUGCAUCAUAUACAACUCUUCCUUAAGGAAGCCAUUAAGGAAUGCCGUUUUGACGUCCAUCUGCCAUAUCUCAUAAUCAUAGUAUGCGGCAAUUGCUAACAUGAUUCGGACGGACUUCAGCUUCGCUACGGGUGAGAAAGUCUCAUCGUAGUCAACCCCUUGAACUUGUCGAUAACCCUUAGCGACAAGUCGAGCCUUAUAGAUGGUCACAUUACCAUCCGCGUCUGUCUUCUUCUUAAAGAUCCAUUUGUUUCCUAUGGCUCGCCGAUCAUCGGGCAAGUCAGUCAAAGUCCAUACUUCGUUUUCAUACAUGGAUCCUAUCUCGGAUUUCAUGGCUUCUAGCCAUUUGUCGGAAUCCGGGCCCGCCAUCGCUUCUUCAUAGUUCGAAGGUUCACCGUUGUCUAACAACAUGAUUUCCAGGACAGGGUUGCCGUACCACUCUGGUGCAUAACGUGUCCUUGUGGACCUACGAAGUUCAGUAGUAACUUGAUCCGAAGCUUCAUGAUCAUCAUCAUUAACUUCCGCGCCAGUCGGUGUAGGCACCACAGGAACAUCUUCUCACGCUGCGCUACUUUCCGGUACGGAAGGGGUGACUAUCACCUCAUCAAGUUCCACUUUCCUCCCACUCAAUUCUUUCGAGAGAAACUCCUUCUCUAGAAAGGACCCGUUCUUUGCAACGAAGAUCUUGCCUUCGGAUCUGAGGUAGAAGGUAUACCCAAUAGUUUCCUUGGGGUAUCCUAUGAAGACGCAUUUUUUCGAUUUGGGUUCGAGCUUUUCAGGUUGAAGUUUCUUGACAUAAGCAUCGCAUCCCCAAACUUUUAGAAACGACAGCUUAGGUUUCUUUCCAAACCAUAAUUCAUACGGUGUCGUCUCAACGGAUUUCGACGGUGCCCUAUUUAAAGUGAAUGCGGCAGUCUCUAAAGCAUAGCCCCAAAAUGAGAGUGGUAAAUCGGUAAGAGACAUCAUAGAUCGCACCAUAUCCAAUAGAGUGCGAUUACGACGUUCGGACACACCGUUUCUCUGAGGUGUUCCAGGCGGCGUGAGUUGUGAAACUAUUCCACAUUUCCUUAAGUGUGCACCAAACUCGUGACUUAAAUAUUCUCCACCACGAUCUGAUCGUAAGAAUUUUAUUUUCCUGUCACGUUGAUUCUCAACCUCACUCUGAAAUUCCUUGAACUUUUCAAAGGUUUCAGACUUGUGUUUCAUUAGGUAGACAUACCCAUAUCUACUUAAGUCAUCAGUGAGAGUGAGAACAUAACGAUAUCCUCCGCGAGCCUCAACACUCAUUGGACCGCACACAUCGGUAUGUAUGAUUUCCAAUAAGUUGGUUGCUCGCUCCAUUGUUCCGGAGAACGGAGUCUUGGUCAUCUUACCCAUGAGGCAUGGUUCGCACGUGUCAAAUGAUUCGUAAUCAAGAGACUCCAAAAGUCCAUCUGCAUGGAGCUUCUUCAUGCGCUUGACACCAAUGUGACCAAGGCGGCAGUUCCACAAGUAUGUGGGACUAUCGUUAUCAACUUUACAUCUUUUGGUAUUCACACUAUGAAUAUGUGUAACAUCUCAUUCGAGAUUCAUCAAAAAUAAACCAUUGACCAGCGGGGCAUGACCAUAAAACAUACCUCUCAAAUAAAUAGAACAACCAUUAUUCUCGGAUUUAAAUGAGUAGCCAUCUCGAAUUAAACGAGAUCCAGAUACAAUGUUCAUGCUCAAAGCUGGCACUAAAUAACAAUUAUUGAGGUUUAAAACUAAUCCCGUGGGUAGAUGCAGAGGUAGCGUGCCGACGGCGAUCACAUCGACCUUGGAACCAUUCCCGACGCGCAUCGUCACCUCGUCCUUCGCCAGUCUCCGUUUAUUCCGUAGUUCCUGUUUUGAGUUACAAAUAUGAGCAACCGCACCGGUAUCAAAUACCCAGGAGCUACUAUGAGUACUGGUAAGGUACACAUCAAUUACAUGUAUAUCACAUAUACCUUUGGUGUUGCCGGCCUUCUUGUCCGCUAAGUAUUUGGGGCAGUUCCGCUUCCAGUGACCACUUCCCUUGCAAUAAAAGCACUCAGUUUCAGGCUUGGGUCCAUUCUUUGGCUUCUUCCCAGUAACUGGCUUACCGGGCGCGGCAACUCCCUUGCCGUCCUUCUUGAAGUUCUUCUUACCCCUGCCCUUCUUGAACUUAGUGGUUUUAUUCACCAUCAACACUUGAUGUUCUUUUCUGAUCUCCCCCUCCGCUGAUUUCAGCAUUGAAUAUACCUCAGGAAUGGUCUUUUCCAUCCCCUGCAUAUUGUAGUUCAUCACAAAGCUCUUGUAGCUUGGUGGAAGCGACUGGAGGAUUCUGUCAAUGACUGCGUCAUCCGAGAGAUUAACUCCCAGCUGAGUCAAGCGGUUGUGCAACCCAGACAUUCUGAGUAUGUGCUCACUAACAGAACUAUUCUCCUCCAUCUUACAGUUGAAGAACUUGUCGGAGACUUCAUAUCUCUCGACCCGGGCAUGAGCUUGGAAAACCAAUUUCAGCUCCUCGAACAUCUCAUAUGCUCCAUGUUUCUCAAAACGCUUUUGGAGACCCGGUUCUAAGCUGUAAAGCAUGCCGCACUGAACGAGGGAGUAAUCAUCAGCACGUGAUUGCCAAGCGUUCAUAACGUCUUGGUUCUCAGGGAUUGGUGCUUCACCUAGCGGUGCUUCUAAGACAUAAUCUUUCUUGGCUACUAUGAGGAUGAUCCUCAGGUUCCGGACCCAGUCCGUAUAGUUGCUGCCAUCAUCUUUCAGCUUGGUUUUCUCUAGGAACGCGUUGAAAUUGAGGACAACGUUGGCCAUUAGAUCUACAAGACAUAGUGUAAAGAUUUUAGACUAAGUUCAUGAUAAUUAAGUUCAUCUAAUCAAAUUACUCAAUGAACUCCCACUCAGAUAGACAUCCCUCUAGUCAUCUAAGUGAAACAUGAUCCGAGUUAACUAGGCCGUGUCCGAUCAUCACGUGAGAUGAACUAGUCAAGAUCGGUGAACAUCUCCAUGUUGAUCGUAUCUUCUAUACGACUCAUGCUCGACCUUUCGGUCCUCCGUGUUCCGAGGCCAUGUCUGUACAUGCUAGGCUCGUCAAGUCAACCUAAGUGUAUUGCGUGUGUUCCGAGGCCAUGUCUGUACAUGCUAGGCUCGUCAACACCCGUUGUAUGCGAACGUUAGAAUCUAUCACACCCGAUCAUCACGUGGUGCUUCGAAACAACGAACCUUCGCAACGGUGCACAGUUAGGGUGAACACUUUCUUGAAAUUAUUAUAAGGGAUCAUCUUACUUACUACCGUCAUUCUAAGCAAAUAAGAUGCAAAAACAUGAUAAACAUCACAUGCAAUCAAAUAGUGACAUGAUAUGGCCAAUAUCAUUAUGCUCCUUUGAUCUCCAUCUUCGGGGCACCAUGAUCAUCUUCGUCACCGGCAUGACACCAUGAUCUCCAUCAUCAUGAUCUCCAUCAUUGUGUCUUCAUGAAGUCGUCACGCCAACGAUUACUUCUACUUCUAUGGCCAACGCGUUUAGCAACAAAGUAAAGUAAUUUACAUGGCGUUAUUCAAUGACACGCAGGUCAUGCAAAAUAAUAAAGACAACUCCUAUGGCUCCUGCCGGUUGUCAUACUCAUCGACAUGCAAGUUGUGAUUCCUAUUACAAGAAUAUGAUCAAUCUCAUACAUCACAUAUAUCAUUCAUCACAUCUUCUGGCCAUAUCACAUCACAUAACAUAUGCUGCAAAAACAAGUUAGACGUCCUCUAAUUGUUGUUGCAAGUUUUUACGUGGUUUGUAGGUUUCUAGCAAGAACGUUUCUUACCUACGUAUGACCACAACGUGAUUGCCAAUUUCUAUUUACCCUUCAUAAGGACCCUUUUCAUCGAAUCCGUUCCGACUAAAGUAGGAGAGACAGCCACCCGCUAGCCACCUUAUGCAACUAGUGCAUGUCAGUCGGUGGAACCUGUCUCACGUAAGCGUACGUGUAAGGUCGGUCCGGGCCGCUUCAUCCUACAAUGCCGCCGAAACAAGAAACGACUAGUAGCGGCAAGAAGAAUUGGCAACAUCAACGCCCACAACUUCUUUGUGUUCUACUCGUGCAUAGUAACUACGCAUAGGCCUGGCUCAUGAUGCCACUGUUGGGAAUCGUAGCAUAAUUUUAAAAUUUUCCUACGCUCACCAAGAUGCAUCUAUGGAUUAUACUAGCAACGAGGGGAAAGGAGUGCAUCUACAUACCCUUGUAGCUCGCGAGCGGAAGCGUUCCAAUGAACGUGGAUGACGGAGUCGUACUCGCCGUGAUCCAAAUCACCGAUGACCGAGUGCCGAACGGACGGCACCUCCGCGUUCAACACACGUAAGGUGCAGCGACGUCUCCUCCUUCUUGAUCCAGCAAGGGGGAAGGAGAGGUUGAUGGAGAUCCAGCAGCACGACGGCGUGGUGGUGGAUGUAGCGGGAUGCCGGCAGGGCUUCGCCGACCAUAUACGAGAGAGAGAGGUGUUGCAGGGGGAGAGGGAGGCGCCCAAGGCUGUAAUGCUACUGCCCUCCCUCCCCCCUUUAUAUAGGCCCCCUGGGAGGGGGGGGGGGCGCCGGCCAGAACCCAUCUAGGGUGGGGGGCCGGCGGCCAGGGGGGUAACUUACCCCCCAAGGCAAGUGGGAAGCCCCCCCACCCUAGGGUUCCCAACCCUAGGCGCAUGGGGGGAGGCCCAUGGGGGGGCGCCCAGCCCACUAGGGGCUGGUUCCCUUCCCACUUCAGCCCACGGGGCCCUCCGGGAUAGGUGGCCCACCCGGUGGACCCCCGGGAUCCUUCCGGUGGUCCCGGUACAAUACCGGUAACCCCCGAAACUUUCCCGGUGGCCGAAACUUGACUUCCUAUAUAUAAUUCUUUACCUCCGGACCAUUCCGGAACUCCUCGUGACGUCCGGGAUCUCAUCCGGGACUCCGAACAACUUUCGGGUUUCCGCAUACACAUAUCUCUACAACCCUAGCGUCACCGAACCUUAAGUGUGUAGACCCUACGGGUUCGGGAGACAUGCAGACAUGACCGAGACGCCUCUCCGGUCAAUAACCAACAACGGGAUCUGGAUACCCAUGUUGGCUCCCACAUGUUCCACGAUGAUCUCAUCGGAUGAACCACAAUGUCGAGGAUUCAAUCAAUCCCGUAUACAAUUCCCUUUGUCAAUCGGUAUGUUACUUGCCCGAGAUUCGAUCGUCGGUAUCCCAAUACCUUGUUCAAUCUCGUUACCGGCAAGUCUCUUUACUCGUACCAUAAUGCAUGAUCCCGUGACUAACGCGUUAGUCACAUAGAGCUCAUUAUGAUGAUGCAUUACCGAGUGGGCCCAGAGAUACCUCUCCGUCAUACGGAGUGACAAAUCCCAGUCUCGAUCCGUGCCAACCCAACAGACACUUUCGGAGAUACCCGUAGUGCACCUUUAUAGUCACCCAGUUACGUUGUGACGUUUGGCACACCCAAAGAACUCCUACGGUAUCCGGGAGUUGCACGAUCUCAUGGUCUAAGGAAAAGAUACUUGACAUUGGAAAAGCUCUAGCAAACGAAACUACACGAUCUUUUAUGCUAUGCUUAGGAUUGGGUCUUGUCCAUCACAUCAUUCUCCUAAUGAUGUGAUCCCGUUAUCAAUGACAUCCAAUGUCCAUAGUCAGGAAACCAUGACUAUCUGUUGAUCAACGAGCUAGUCAACUAGAGGCUUACUAGGGACACGUUGUGGUCUAUGUAUUCACACAUGUAUUACGAUUUCCGGACAAUACAAUUAUAGCAUGAACAAUAGACAAUUACCAUGAACAAAGAAAUAUAAUAAUAACCAUUUAUUAUUGCCUCUAGGGCAUAUUUCCAACACUUUCUUCAUGACUUAUACAUGUUCCUAUGACUAUGAGAUUAUGCAACUCCCGAAUACCGGAGGAACACUUUGUGUGCUACCAAACGUCACAACGUAACUAGGUGAUUAUAAAGGUGCUCUACAGGUGUCUCUGAUGGUGUUUGUUGAGUUGGCAUAGAUCGAGAUUAGGUUUUGUCACUCUGAUUGUCAGAGAGGUAUCUCUAGGCCCUCUCGGUAAUGCACAUCACUAUAAGCCUUGCAAGCAAUGUGACUAAUGAGUUACUUGCGGGAUGAUGUAUUACGGAACGAGUAAAGAGACUUGCCGGUAACGAGAUUGAACUAGGUAUUGAGAUACCGACGAUCGAAUCUCGGGCAAGUAACAUACCGAUGACAAAGGGAACAACGUAUGUUGUUAUGCGGUUUGACCGAUAAAGAUCUUCGUAGAAUAUGUGGGAUCCAAUAUGAGCAUUCAGGUUCCGCUAUUGGUUAUUGACCAGAGACGUGUCUCGGUCAUGUCUACAUAGUUCUCGAACCCGUAGGGUCCGCACGCUUAACGUUCGGUGACGAUCGGUAUUAUGAGUUUAUGUGAUUUGAUGUACCGAAGGUAGUUCGGAGUCCCGGAUAUGAUCACGGACAUGACGAGGAGUCUCGAAAUGGUCGAGACAUAAAGAUCGAUAUAUUGGACGACUAUAUUUGGACAUCGGAAUGGUUCCGGGUGAAAUUGGGAUUUUACGAGAGUACCGAGAGGUUACUGGAACCCCCCGGUAAGUGUAUGGGCCUUAUUGGGCCUUAGUGGAAUAGAGGAGGAGGAAGCUUAGGAGGGGGCACGGCCCCCCAAGCCCAAUCCGAAUUGGGUGAGGGGGCCGGCCCCCCUUUCCUUCCUCUCUCCCUCCUCUUUCCUACCUCUCCUACUCCAACUUGGAAGGGGGGGGGGGGGAAUCCUACUCCGGUGGGAGUAGGACUCCCCUAUGGCGCGCCCUAGAGAGGGCCGGCCCUCCCCCUCCUCUACUCCUUUAUAUACGAGGGAGGGGGCACCCCAUAGACACACAAGUUGACCAUUGAUCUCUUGCCGUGUGCGGUGCCCCCUCCACCAUAAUCCAGCUCGGUCAUAUCGUAGCGGUGCUUAGGCGAAGCCCUGCGUCAGUAACUUCAUCAUCACCGUCAUCACGCCGUCGUGCUGACGAAGCUCUCCCUCGAAGCUCUACUGGAUCGUGAGUUCGUGGGACGUCGCCGAGCUGAACGUGUGCAGUCCGCGGAGGUGCCGUACCUUCGGUGCUAGGAUCGGUCGAUCGUGAAGACGUACGACUACAUCAACCACGUUAUCAUAAUGCUUCCGCUUACGGUCUACGAGGGUACGUAGACAACACUCUCCCCUCUGGUUGCUAUGCAUCACCAUGAUCUUGCGUGUGCGUAGGAAAAUUUUGAAAUUACUACGUUCCCCAACAGGUAGCCUGUAUAUGCCUACCACCAUGGCCCCUGGCGGUAGGUGAAAGUGUCAGAUCCCGAAAUGGUUUCGAACAUGGGUCAGAUCUCGAUUUUCUUUGACAAAAGGGUCAAAACACGAAAUUUUGCCUCCCUACAACCCUCGGCUUGCUGCCCCAUGCAGAACCUCGUCGGUUGGCCGUUGUGCCGAUUCCAUCUUGGCUUGUGUUGGUUGCAGCAUCUCGGCUUGUCGCUUGCAGCUGGUUGUGGCUUGUCGUUGCAAGGUUACAACAUCCCCUAUGGCGCGGCAGUGGCUCAGGCGCUUUCUAGCAAAACUUUUCGCAGAGAAAAAGCACCAUCAUUGCGGAUUCCUAGCAAAAUCCAUUGUCAGUUCCAGCAAAAAUUGUCAUCGGUCGCAGCAAAAAGCACCAAUGUUGCGGAUCCCUAGCAAAGUCAGUCACCUGUUCCAGCAAAAAAUGUCACCGGUCGCAGCAAAAUACAUUGUCUAUCAAAACAAAAAGCAUCACCGUGAGAUUGACCUGGGCCUCUUGGGUGUUUAACCAAGCACAUGUUGAGCCCUUUAACAUAAGGAUUAAGAGUUUGACAGUGUGCCGAUCAUCACCAUUAGCCACCUGGGAUAUGAGGAGGUAAAAUAUGUUACCCAAAAUCUCAGGGUCCGCUUCCGUUGUACUUGUCCAUCGUGUUUAUCAUGAAGCUAAAUGCAAACUUGUAGCAAACAUUCUCGUCGAUGAAGCAUGCCAUUGCUUGUCAUCGAAAGCUGGUUGGUUUGGAUCCUGAGCAUUCUGGCGCAGCCGAUGUGCAUGCUACUACUCGGUUUCUCUCAGGGAAGGGUCACACGAUACGUUCAGGCUAUGGGGCAUCCCCCGAUUCGCCUUGGGAUGAUAUAUGGACGUGGAGACACAUAGGUGGUCCCGGUGUGACUCUUGGACAGGGCCUAAUUAUCCCGCUGGAUCAUCACCGUCUUCAGAUACUCCAUCCCUUGCUCGAACCUCCGCUUGUCCGGAUGCCCCUUUGGGAAUUGUGUCAUGAUCAAGGCUCCUCCCUCUACCUGCAUAUUCUUGGCCGGAGUGCGAUAGGACUCUGCGCCCGCCUGGAUCAACAACGUUCACGAGUGCCUCUUUCACCCGUCUACUUUAGGAAGGCAAAAAACACAUAUUUGACCUGUUGGCUAAAUCAAUUCACGAUCUGAACUGCUCUUGAAAAAAAUUCACAAACUGACCAUUUUGUGUGACGCCUGACAGACGGGCGCUGCACUACACUAUGCAGCGCCUUUGUCUUAGGGGCCAGGCGCGGCCCCACAUCCAACCGUGCAGCGCCUAAGCGCUAGGCGCCACACAGUAUCAUGUGCAGCGCCUAGCGCUUAGGCGCUGCACAUUGACUUAAGCCGCAUCGGGCCAGCCCUCCCCAGACAGUUCUUCCCUCCCAGGCAGUUGCUCUCUGUCAACAGAGAGCAGCGGCGGCGCCCCCUUUGAUCCCCCCACACCCCUCUCAGAUCUGGAGAUUUCAGCUGUGGAAUCGAUCUCUAAUCCCUCCUACUAGGUAAACUCCUCCGUUCCCUUUCUUUUCCUCUGUAAAUUUGUUGCCAUUUUUAGAGAUUUGUCCAAGAUUGGGCGGAACCCUUGAUUUGCUUGGUUUGGAUCUUUAUUUGUCCAAGAUUGGGUGUUGUGAUUUAGGAUGUGUAGUCAUAGUGGUACUACCCUAGUAUUGUUCAUUAGUUCAUAAUAUAUGAUUCUUGUUAGUGAAACCCUAGAUUGUUUAGUUUUUUAGAUAUAUAUGAGAUGCCUAGUUUUGUAGAUAAUUAUGAGAUGUUGAGUUUUGUAGCUAUAUAUGAGAUGUUGAGUUUUUUUAGAUAUAUAUGAGAUGUUGAGUUUAUUUGAAAUAUGAGAUGUUGAGUUUAUUUUUAGAUACAUAUGACAUAGGAGAUAUAUAUGAGAAUUUUUCAAAUUGGUAUUGUAGAUCAUUUAUUCAUUGUGUGAGAAGGAGAUGUUGAGAUUCUUGUAGAUGAAUACAUAUGAGAUGUUUAGAUGAACACAUAUGAGAUGUUUAGUGUAUACGGAUAUUUGAGAUGAACUCAUAUAUGUUUAUUGUUUGAACUUUGUAAGGAUGGUUUGCCUUCUCGAUGAUGCCUAUGACACACGACACCGGGCCUACAUGAUGCGCGAGAAGGGGAUGGUAAUAAUGAGUAAUCUAAAUAUUUUGCAAAUUUGCCUUUAGUUGAAAUUGACACGCCCUAAGAUUUGUCAUUACUUGUUUUUUGCAGAAGCUUGAACCUCUGAAGAUUCGGUAUCACGGGGUCUCUGGUGCUGCCAUGCCCGACGAUGAGCGGUACACACCCUACAUCCAGCAAGCAGGACUCCUCCCGUGGAUUCAGUUGGUCAGCUGGUCCACGCCGAACCUCAACGCUCCACUGGUGUCCUCUCUUGCUGAUCGGUGGAGGCCGGAGACGCGCAGUUUCCAUCUUCGGACCGGGAGAUGACCGUGACGCUCCAGGAUGUCUCCUUGAUCACUGGUCUUCCUAUCGACGGGAGGCCUCUCUGUAUGAGUACCGAUUCUGAUGGGUGGCGCCAGCAGAUGACUGCUCUUAUCGGUUUGGCUCCUAUCGGGGCUGAGGCUGAUGUAGAAGAGGGACAAGAGAAGAAGAAGAAGGAAAGGAAAGCAGCCGGAGCUGCUUUCACGUGGAUUCAAGCAAACUUUGCGCAUUGCCCUGUGGAUGCCACUGAUGAUGUGAUCCAGACACAUGCUUGUGUCUAUAUGUGGUACGUUAUCUCGAGGAUUUUGUUUCCUGACGCCACAAGGAAGAACGCUCCAUGGAUGUGGCUGAAGGCGUUGACCGUCUUCGAUAGCAGAUGGAGCUGGGGUUCAGCGACUCUUGCCUACUUGUACCGACAGGUAGUUGGUUUGUUUUGUUAUCAAUUCAUUUAUUCAUUAGCAAUGCAACCUUGCUGUCAAGUUAACAUUGUUUUCUUUGAUAUGCAGCUGGACGAUGCGUGUUGCAGGAUCACAAAUAGUGCAUGCAUUGGUGGUAAUCUGCUUCUACUUUCAGUAUGGAGCUGGGAGCGUCUGCCUGUUGGACGCCCGAAGAGCGUCAAGUUUAAUCCUUUGGAUGUAGAUGACGAAUUACGAUGCCCCACUUGGGCUUACAAGUGGGAUGUGGUAUCCGAGAUGACAAACGAUGUCAAUCUCAUGCACCAAAAGUACAUUGCCGAGUUGUACACAAUUAUGCCUGAGCAGGUAACGAGGACAUUACAACAGUCAUUUCUCAUGCUUGCCUGAAAACUUGUCAUCAAUGUUGCGUUGUUGUCCUAUUUCAUAGGUGGAAUGGCAGCCAUAUGGCGCCAAUGACACAGUAGGGUUCACUGACAUGUUUGUCGUCAACCCGAUGUGCUUGCGGGAUAGGGAUCUUUGGCUUAUGCGGUGCCCACUGAUAUGCAACUGGGUGGUUGAGCUUCAUUUGCCACAUCGCGUGUAUCAUCAGUUUGGUCUGUUCCAGCCUCACCCGCCGGAAUGGGUGGACACGGACAAAGCAUUUCAUAGGUAAGAGAGCAUGAACCAUAUUGACUAAGCAUCGCCACUCCUUCUUGAUUGUGCUAAUGUUUGGUUUUCUACCGUGCAGGUUGGACAGUAGAAAGCAGCGGAAGAUAAAUGACUAGGACAAGCAUCAUUCAUCGUAUGUUACCCAUUUCCAUCUUAGUGUGGAGCAAGCUCGUAACAGUGCAUACGCCCAGCUUCGUGAGCAUAGCUCACUUGCUUUCGAUAACUACAUACGAUGGUUUCUUGAAAAUGCUCGAGUUGAGAUAUGCCCGCUGGCAUACAAUGAUGAUAUUCUUGAAGAUCCCGCAAACUUUGAGGAUAUAUCGAAGCAUCAGUACAAAAAAAUGUCAGGGAAGGGGUAGGAGUCCCUGCUGUUCCGGUGAUUAACUAUGUGGUAAAGUGUUCCCUUCUUUACUUUCCCGUUGGCCGUAUUACACAUGUUUGAAUGGCUAACGUGUUACUUCGUUCUCAUCCGCAGCGCAACCAGAUCAAGAAAGCAGCCGAUGAAAGCCAGUCUAUUCUGGAGAAGACACCGGUUGGAGAAGGCAAUGAUGAAGGUCCACUACAAAAAUUCCUCAAGGUACAUAUCACACUCAGGUGUCCAUGUUACAUAUGUUGCGGAGUUGGGUAUCUUAUACACUUGUUCAUGUUACAGCGUCAGGCCAAGAAGUUAAGGCGGUUAUCGAACCUUCUUGGUUGCCGUGACCUAGAAUAUGAUGAACCAUCUGCCUCUAGGUCUGGUACACCAUCAGACCCCUUAUCUCACCAGCAGGGGGACGAUGUGACUUCCUCAUAUGCUUAUGUGGAUGAUGAGGGUGCGGUCACCCAAGAGGUAUGACUAAUCUUUUAGAUGCAAUUCUCACUUGAUUACGACGCCGGUACCAUAUUGUUUGAUUGUGUGAUAGGUUGAUGGACUUGAUGAUGACAUUACUUUGGCGGACCUCAAGUUCGGUCCGCAUACAUGUUGAAGCGUAGGCAGCCCAUAAGCCGGUUCACGCCCACCGACUUGGACAACAGAGGCAACCCAAAGGUGGUCAUAGGGAGCUCGCAGAUGGCGAGCUUGGAUGAUGAGGCGGAGGAGGAAGAGGAGGCUCCUCCUGCCAGAAGGAAGAAGAUAACCACCAGGCGUGGCCGCAGGAACACGCGCGGAAGGCAUUAAUCGUUGUCGUUUUUAUUAUGAAACUGAACUUGUCGUCGUUUCAUUAGGUUUAUGAACUUGUGAGGUUAUGUGAUAUGUUAGUGAACUCUUAGUAGUGUGCUACUUGUGUUUGCGAACUUGUCGUUGUGAAUUGUCUUAAAUGAUGUGAUGUUCAAGUUAUUACUUGUGUUUGUUCAAAUUGCUAUGAAGUUCAAGUUAUUGUAAGUGUUGUGAUGUUCAAGCGAAUUGAAAUUGCUGUCAACGACUUCUCUUUUUGCAGUUUUGCAGUUUCCAGAUGUGCAGCGCCCAGGGCUCAGGCGCUGCACUAUACUGUGUAGCGCCCAACAGUCAGGCCCUCACACAUUGCUCAAAGGCCCAAAAUGCACGGCCAAAUACUCGGACGGUCCUCCCGUUGUGAAUCAAUGUUUGGUGCCCAUGAGGCUCGACCACGUGAACCAUGCCUGGGUUUGUGGCAGCCAUAGCUAACAACAACCUAGGGAGUCGGUUGUAUAAUUCCUCCCAAUUGCCAUACAACAUCUUGAAUGUGGCUUGCUUCGCCUUCCAUGCCUUGCCGUACUUCACCUUGUAAUGAAAGAUGGCUUUCACAAGGUCAAUGACACUCUUAAUGCUCAUUGUUGGAAGUGUGGGUAUUUGGUUGAAAAACCUGUAAGCGAUGAACUCGGACUUGUGUUGUCUGUGUUCUUGGGACACAAGCUUGCCAUCCGCAUUCUUGUGUCGGCACAUAUGACUUGGUACACAACUCACUAUGCGCCAAGUGGGACCUCCUUUCCAUGGACUUGCACGCACAAUCCAUGGACAUCUUGGCACUUCACAUUUAACCGUGUAACACACAUUGACGUUCGAGUUUGCCACUCUAUGUGGACGAUAAUGCGUAACCAAGUAGUUGUCGAGCCACAUCUUCAAUUCCAAGAAGGAUUCAAACUCACAACCGUGAUAUAUCCCGUUCUUGCCGUCUUCCAAAUCAUGGUGAGAACUUGGCCUACCUCCAAGAGAUAUACAUUUGCCACCACCUACACCGGCUUCAUCCGCAAGACUAAGAUCCUUGAACAAUGGUGUCUUGUGAUCCCGCCGGAAUACCUUCUUAAAUGCUCCGACCUCCUUCGCCAUGAACCCCUCCUCAUCAACUUCUUCAUCGGGACCAUCGUCAUCCGAGUCCGAUGCAUAUGAACGGGAAAAAGGGAUGGAUUGGUCCAUUGUCUCUUGCACAUGAUAUUUGUUGAGAUCACCCACAUUGUUGUCAUGGAGAUCAACUUCGUUGUCAUCCUCCUCGUACUCAUCAUUCUCCUCUUCAAAAGCUUCAUUUUGGUUGUUUGAAAUCAGGCUCAAUGUUGGCCAAACUUGUUGCGUCAAAUGAGGUUCACUCAUUUGAUCUUGGUUCAUGGGUGAGGGAGUACUAGCAACCAACGGGGAGGGGUUCCAGUUCAAGUCCAAAUGCAAACUAGACUCAACCUUCUUGGAGGCAAAUAACUCAAGAGCCUUGUCUAGAGAUUCGGCAACCGUCUCCUUGUAUGCAACCCAGCGUUGCUCGGAGUUCACACGCAUUGUCUUCCAACAGAUGUGCAUUCCAAAACAAACAUUAUGCCUUCCCUCCAACUCAACAACGUCACUUGGGUCCAUCCAAUUUAAAUCCUUCCUCACUUGUUCCAAGACAUCCGCAUAGUUAGGACUACUCUCAAACACCAUGUCAAGCUCAUCCGGGUCCGACUCAACAUUGCCUUUCAAAAGGCCUCUUUAUCCACAUGAUGAACAUAAACACAUGUUCUUCCCAUCCCUAAAAUAAUCAAAAACACACAUAUAUCAAAUAAGUACUUAACCGAAUAUUUGCACAAAAUACAUAAGCCCUAACAUAGAUAUGAAACAAUAACCCUAACCCCAACUUAACAAUAACCACAACCCUAACCAUAGCAUAACCCUAACCCUAACCCCAACAUAACAACACACAUAACCCUAACCCUAGCAUAGUAGGAAGCCUAACCCUAGCAAAUUGGCAAAGAAACAUAACAUGUUCCAACACAAAUUUCCAAAUCAAAGCCAAAACUAGGGUUUUCCCAAACUAGCAAGAUUUGAGCAAAUGUGACAAUUCCUAGAAGAUUUCACAAAACCAUUAUCGCUUAGCUUUUGACUUUUCGGGAAUAUAUUGGCGGAUGAAUUAGUCGUUGUUGUUCUUGUUUCUUUAGUCCCCUUAGUAAUCCCUAUACCGGUCAUGUUUCUUGGAUUAUUUACAAGCGGUAUUCAAGCUCUUAUUUUUGCAACAUUAGCCGCAGCCUAUAUAGGUGAAUCCAUGGAGGGUCAUCAUUGAAUUGACUCUUUUUGGAAAUAGUAUUUUUUUUGCAGCUUAGCUCAAUCAUGCAUGGUUCCUAUGGAUGAAAAAGAGGGGGUCGGAGGAGAUUACCUUAAGGGAGGGGUUGGCUUUGAAAUCCACGGACAAAUACUCCGGAUUUGCAAGAUUNNNNNNNNNNNNNNNNNNNNNNNNNNNNNNNNNNNNNNNNNNNNNNNNNNNNNNNNNNNNNNNNNNNNNNNNNNNNNNNNNNNNNNNNNNNNNNNNNNNNNNNNNNNNNNNNNNNNNNNNNNNNNNNNNNNNNNNNNNNNNNNNNNNNNNNNNNNNNNNNNNNNNNNNNNNNNNNNNNNNNNNNNNNNNNNNNNNNNNNNNNNNNNNNNNNNNNNNNNNNNNNNNNNNNNNNNNNNNNNNNNNNNNNNNNNNNNNNNNNNNNNNNNNNNNNNNNNNNNNNNNNNNNNNNNNNNNNNNNNNNNNNNNNNNNNNNNNNNNNNNNCAGAAAGUGCAGCGCCUAAAGGACCGGGCUGCACAUUACAUGUGUGGCGCCUAGACCUUAGGCGCUGCAUAUUACAUGUGUGGUGCCUAUGCCUUAGGCGCUGCACGGCUGGAUGUGGGGCCGCGCCUGGCCCCGGGCUGCCACGCUGGCCCGGCGUGUGGCGCCCAAGAGCCUGGUGCUGCACAGUAUAGUGUGGCGCCUAGCUGUCAGGCGCCACACAAAACGGUAAGUUUAUGAUUUUUUUCAAGGACAGUUCAGAUCGUGAAUUGAUUUCACCAACAGGUCAAAUAUGUGUUUUUUGCCCUUUAGGAAGGCCUUGUCCUCUGCCGACAUGGUCUUUUCGAUGGGAUGGCAAGACCGGAAGAACUCCUCGCUGCGUCCAGGCCCGCCGCCCUCCUCUCCAAGCAUAUCUUCUCCUUGGAAACCUUGAUGAGAGCCGACAAGACUUCCACCCGGACUGCAUCUUGCUCUUCUCUUCUAGGAUCGCUCCAUCAAGCGCUUCAAUAUCCCUAUCACUGAAUUCUUACACCUCACUGCUUUCCUCUUGGCUUGGAUCUGGCGUGUCUACGAUAUAGUAGGACUGGACCGAGGUCGCCUGCCACGUGCCGAUAGGCAGCAUGGCUCGCGGUUGGCUGUCAGUCGACUCGCACAUCUCCUCGUCAUGAACAUCCAACUCCUCAUUUGCCUCGAGGAUGGUGGUGAGAUAUUCAAUGUUGGUGAUUAAGUGGGUUGUGGGUGGGCCAAAAAAUUUCGCAUGCUGCUCCUAGGCCUCACAUGACGUCAGACCUUGGAGAAGGAGCUCGUUGCGUGAAUCUGCGGUGUACUCCAGAUUGCUUAAUCGAACGAUCUGUCCUGGGGCACAGCUCUCGACUUGGCCCAAGCGGCUGGUUGAGUCGGCGACAAAGGUCAUGGCGCCGAAUGAAGAUCUAACCCGACGUGUAGAUCGUGUCGUCGUCAGCUACCAAUCCCAUCUUAGCACUGAGUUCACCAUGCGGGACCUGCAUGGCCACCACUGUCGGAGCUGAUUCCCUCAGAUCCCUAGAUAGGGUAUCCCGGUGAGGUGAGUAAAUCAGAGGGGAAACAUGAGACAUGCAUAUUUACCUAGGUUCAGGCCCUCCUUACGAGGUAAAACCCUAUUGUGAUUACGGUGUACAAAGUACAUGUAUUAGUCUUAUAUAAGAUAUCGGGGCCCCUAGAGUUACAUGAACCUAGUCGGCUAUGUUGGUGGAGGGGAGUCCGCCAUGUCUUUGGCUUCCUUAUCCUGAGCAACAAGGCUUCAAGAGUUUUCCUUCUAUAAGUCCCAUGGGCCAGCAUGACGACCCAUGGUGAAACCGGCCUUGGAGGCCUCGGGCCGGCCUACUCAGGCUGACAACCAGAGAGGUACGACACCCUUCACCGUAACACCAUCACAACCUGUGUUGAAGCCAUUGCUUGUCACGAGGCUAUGUGUUUGUUAUAGGAUCUUCAAGUGAGCGUGGGAGUGGUCACUUCAGAUUGUACUGGCAUAGUGCAGGACAUCCAUGAGGAAAAAGGAGGUCAACAUGGACUGAUCAUCAAGGAAAUUAGAGCUAUGGAAGAUGGUGCAGGGGUAACCCCCUUCCGCCAUGAACGUCAUGGGUCAAAUGUGGAUGCUCAUCCAGUUUCAGAAAAAAAAGUGGAUGCUCACAAUAUAGGAGAAAACUCUAGUUUUAUCACCAGAUAGGCAUGUCUAGUUGCUUGAGCCCCCGUGGUAUAUGUAAACUCUAUGAUUGAUUAUUAAAGCUCGGGUGUGUUAUUCUAAAAAAAUGUUUUGGAGCAUUGGUUUUUCUUUUUGCCCAGAUCUCCACGAAUGUCAUUCCAUCACGAAAAUCUGCAUGCUUGUGGAAUAUACAUGAAUGUUUGUUGCCAAAAAAAUUCAGAAUUUUUAUUUUUUUACACUUUUUUGUUACUGUUCCGAAUGGUGCAUGUGAGCUCAUGCUCACAAACUCCAUGUCCCACUCUAACAAAUCAACUCUCGGGUUGGAAAUAAUAAUUUAUAUUGAUUUCUUCUUCUGUGAAUUGAGUCUUCCAAAUGAUAGACAACUCUACAUUUGGUCUUAUAGGAAUGAUAAUAGAUGGAGCACAUCUCUUUAGAAUACUACUAGGAAAGGAGCACAUGUGUUGCAACGGGGUAAUAAAAUUAUGCUCUUCAAAUUGAGUGACCCAUAACAUAAUACCCAUAAUAUACAACCCUCGUUGUUAAUUCAAAUCAAUAAUACAGAUGUUUGUUGCACUUAAUAAUUAAACAUGCUAAUAUAAUACAUUUAAUUGAUGGACUACAUGACCCAAGCUUAUAGACCGGUUGUCAUGAACCAAAAUGAAUCAAACUGAUUAAGUGGUUGAUAUGUAUAAGGUCAAUGAAACCAUUGAGAGUGGCAACUACAAGCUCAACGCACCGUGAGGCUUAAGUUCUCUUAUUGCAGACAUGUGUAGCCAGUGCUACUAACAUCAUUAAGCCAUCAUUAUUAGGGGUAGUAGUGCAUAGUCUUCUUCAUAGGUUGUGAUUUGUGAAAUACUCUCGCAGUACAUUGUCUUGUUACACCGUCCUGUGCCGUCGUCUCGUCAAGUCCUAAUCGGGAGCAGUGUUCAGCUGAUAAGAACUCUACCAGAAAGUAAUGGCAAUCAAGCUGGCAUUGUAUCAGUGCAUGCUCAUAAAUCACACAUACAGUUGGCCUCUCCUCACAAAUAUGCAAGACACAGAAAACAUGUGUUAUCGUUAAUUGACUACUGGAUAGUUUUGAUACAAUAAAUCAGUAUAAAAAAGCACAGGCAAAUGGAGAAAAUAUGAACCUAUGGCGUUGCACUCGCUCCUCCUCACUAACCUUGGUGACUUGGCUGUCUUCAUCUAAAUUUCCCAAGAUCUUUUCUGAUGGCCCUUUUGGUGCACCAACUCAAAAUUACAAGAAAUAGGACACCCUUCUGCUUAUCGGUCUCGGAAUUGGCACAACUCCUUUGGUCAGCAUACCGAAGGAUGUCCUGAACAACAUGAAGUCCAAUAAGGGAACGUAAUGACUGAAAGUUCUUUCUCAUACAUGAGUAGAGAUGCACAAUGCCUAAACUGGAUUCAACAGGAGCAGCAAAGCAUGGAUGACGACGAGUUAGGCAGCACCUUCAAGGGCAACGGGCCAAGCCGAGCAUACUUCUGUUGGGUUACCAUGGAACAAGCGGCUCGUUUGAAUGGUUCAAAGGUGAUAUAGGUGAAGUUGCUGAAAGUGAUGACGGUAUACUAGGCAACCGCAACAGUUUCGGUAAACAACAACGUCCCACAUAGCACAGAUUUGUAGAAGGAAAAUAACUUAAUCUCUUGCUGUACAGAAUGCAAUACAGAUGCGCAGCUACCUUACAAGUGUGUAUGAGGAAGGAGAUGCGUGGUCAGCUCUGAUUGCCAUGGUUCAGUCUCCCCAACAUGGUAGCAAGGUUUCUUCUUCUUCUCCCUUCUCACUCCCACUGUUACCUGCAAAAAGUUUCAGAUACACCAUGGUUGCUUCCUCUCCUGACUGCUACAUCACAGAUCCGCACACUUUGCAAGGCCAAACUGGAGAAAGGCGCGCUCUGAUUUGGCCAGUACCCACGAGAACCCACGUAUAGGCCAGUCACAUUUGAUUAAAUUUUGCUUGGCUGUGCGCCUGAUCAAAAUUUAAGUGACGAAUCCUACUUUACAUUACACAAAGACACUUAAAUUUUCUCCCUGUUUACAAUAUGAAUAGAUGGACACCCAAUAUGAAUCAAACAGUGACGAAUCAUAUUGUAAACUCCGCAUAAGUCUGCAGGUUUUUUCUACUGUGGAUCUCCCACGCUUACAGAAGUAGUCACGGAUGUUGCAGUAGAAUUCACCUUCUGCUUCCUCCUCUUACCGGCUCUCGUCAGCGGCAGCAGGGGAGAGGCGGCUGUAGCGACGUAUCCCGGUCGGACCCGUGCGUGGAGGAGACUUGCUCGGAUACACGGCCUUGCCUGACACAGACUCCCCAUGAAUCGCCCUCCUUUUGCCACAUAAAUAGGCCUCGAGCCCUCUACGGAAGCAUCCAAUCUCGCGGUCUGCAAUCUCGCCGUUCUAUCAACUCCGCCGGACGCCGUGCUCCAUAUGCGGACAUGAUGCCGUCGUAAAAUCUCGCGGUUCUACCAACAUCGCCGGACCGCCCGUGCUCCAUCUGAGGUACGCCUGAUCUCUCGUGCCAAGCUAAAUUCGGUUCUGUCGUUUUGAAGAGCACAUGAUUUUUGCUGCGUGUCUGCACUCUGCAACCAUAGCUGCCAUCAUCAUCAUCAUCAUUACCUUGCCCGUAUACGGACAGUCUGCACUCUUUAGGCCUCAUACACACUAGAGAGUACUACUUCAUAGUGGCGGCUGGUAGUUCCAAUAUCUGGAGAAAGAACCAUGCUAUACGUACGACAAUUCACGUACGAGGAGCAGAUCAACCUGUAUAUCAGCUGGACUCUAAGUCCAGCAACGGCUGGAUGUUGCAUCGUACCAAAUCGGACAAGUCAUGUUCGUACGUGUAGUAGUUUCGCUGGAGAAAGAACCAUGCUAUACGUACGACAAUUCACGUACGAAUUAUAUCCGAUGGAGCAGAUCAACCCGUAUAUCAGUUGGACUCUAAGUCCAGCAACGGCUGGUCAUCGCUCUUUUGUAUAUUUUUAUUCUCUUUCCUUUACAGUAAAACAUACACCAUGCUCGCAUUGUUGCAUCUUGCAAUUAGUUCCAGAUUUGCUCGUGGGUGUCAUUCGAGGUCAGAGUAAUUAUUUAGGCAGUGUGCCAACUUUAGGCCCCCUCUGUUGAAAUCCAAAAAUCCAGUAGCUUAUGCAGCCUAUAAGUAGCUUCUAUUGAUUAGUAGCUGAUUUCUGUCAUAAUGAAUAGCUGGACACACCCACUAUUUACAUAUUAUUAUAAUUUCUCCCUGUUUGGUUGAACUCCAUGUUGAUUGCACCUUCGCACAAUAUAAAAUAUUAUUUUGGUUGUUAUUGCAGAAAAUGAAUGACAGCGCUGACUUGACCAUUGUUGUGGAUUUUGAUAACCGACCUUAAAAAAGCCAAAUUUUCUGAGUCGGAUGUUUUGGAGCCAUCACCUACGCCACCAACCAUCUCAACAUUAUCUUUUGGUUUUUGAAUGUUUUGAAUCGAUUACUCUGGUAUUAAAUAGAUGUUGAUCCAUUGCGAUGACCUCCGUUACCAACCAGAUCGACAUCACCUCCGGUUUCUGAAUGUAUGCAUGAAAGACAAGUUUAUUCGAUGAUGAUAAAGCAACCAGAGGAAUAUGAAGAAAUAAAAGUUGAUGAAACAUACAACUACUUCCCAAUAGGUAAUUGUUUAUGACGUGUACUUUUGUAUCUAGCGUCUUAAAUGCCUUUUUGUUAUUUAAUAUUAUUAUUUCUGUAUGUGCACGGUUAAUCCAUAUUUACACAUGGAUUUAUUCAAUAUUCUUUCAAAUUAUUUUACCUUUUGCAGAUUAUGCACUGACCAACCAUGAUGUAUGUGCUCAUAUAGCAAUGGAAACAUUUUUUGAAAAAACAAUUACUGGUGAAGAUAGAUGAAAUAUCUGUCAAAAAGCAUCGCUAGAUGAAAAAGGGGUGGCUAAACGAUGAUGUAAGUACCCUUACUUACAAGGAGAAGUCCAAUUAUUGAUAUCCACUAGUAAUGUCUUUUUCAAAAUCUUUUUACGUAAUCAACACAUAUGUAUGUUGUAUAGAGGACCAAGUACAUGUUCAAAAUGAUAGUAAAGUAUUUCAGAAUCCCUUUGUUACCGCACCGUUAAAAAGGGAGAUCAACCUUGGAAUACAUGAAGAUGGUACCUUUAUGAAAAAGAUUGUCAAAAACUUGUGAAGCAUGACAUGGUAACAUCCAUAUCCUUAAUUAAUAUGUUCUGGGUUUAAUACAUAUUUAUUAGUAAUUUUACUAAUAAUCUUGAAAAAGAUUGUCAAAAACUUAUGUGAAGCAUGACAUGGUAACAUCCAUAUCCUUAAUCAAUAUGUUCUGGGUUUAAUACAUAUUUAUUAAUAAUUUUACUAAUAAUCUUGAUUAUAGAAUGAAAACUUUCAAUAAAUAUGAACAACACACAUUGCUAUUUAACUGUUGUGAACGCGAAAAAUUGUGAGAUUAAAAUGCUAGACUCAUUGUGUUUCAGGUUAGACCGAGAUGAUCUCACUAUUACGGUUGGUUACUACAUCAUAAACUGAUCCUUCGCUUAUGUGUAUUAUUUCCGAUCACAUAUUUCAGCUACAAGGAUUACAAUAUCAAUUGGACAAUAUUAACUUGAUAAGCCACAAUUGGAAAGACUUCGAUGUUACUAAAUGGAAGAUUACAAAACAACUAUGGAAGCCAAUUCAAAAAGACAAGUAUAAAGCAACACAUAUGUUCUAUACUAUUAUAAGUAGUAUUGUGAUCUAUCUAGGGUACUCAUUUUUUUAAUUAUACAGUUCACCCCAUGGUCUAUUAUGCUUAAAUUCGUGCAAUAUUAGACCAGAUAUGCACUAUCUUAUCCGAUUACACAUGUAUAUAUCUCUUUUGUUUGAGAAAUAUAUAUAGUUGAUGAUAUGUUCAUUUUUAUGAUAUACUAAUAAUUGUUGGUGUUGCAUAGGAAAUUAUUAAUUCUUUUAGGUAUUAGUUAGCCAGCAUACUAUUAUGUUAAAAACAAACACCGUGGCAAUGACUACAAUGAUUGAACAAAGUGAUGAUGACAUUGAGGGAGAUCCUAAUGAAAUGUUGGAAAGUCCAUUUGAUAAAAUAAAAAUCAAAAGCAAUAAUCUCAUUAUCUAUGAAAAUAAAUACCAAUCACUAAUAUUUGUUCUUUCAAACACGAGCUUACAUGAGUUACUAGGUAAACUUUGUAGCUACAUCAAAUCAAUCGAUUCUAUAAAGAUUUUAUUGUAAGUUAUUUCAAAUUAGUGGUGCAAUUGACAACACACAUUAUCUUAUUUUCUUAUGAGUUUGGGACAAGGCAAAACCUUGAUUUUGUAGUCCCCAAGGUUUUGGACUUGCCCCAAACUCAUGAAAAAAAUAAGAUAAUGUUUAUGUUUGUUGUCUAUUGCACUACUAAUUUGAAAUGAAUCACUCUAAAAUAUCUAUAGAAUUGAUUGAUUUGAUGUAGCUACAAAGUCCACCUACUAACUCAUCUAAGCUCAUGUUAGAAAGAACAUAUAUUAGUGAUCUGUAUUUAUUUUCGACAAAUAAUGUGCUUAUUGCUUUUUAUGUUUUUGUAUGAUAUGGACUUUCCAACAUUUCAACAUCAUUAGGAUAUCCAUCAAUGUCAUCGCCAAUUUGUUCAAUCAUUGUAACCGUGGCUCCGGUGUUUGUUUUCCAACAUAAUAGUAUAUACUCGCUAACUUUAUACCUAAACGAAGUGAUAAUUUCCUAUGUAACACCAACAAUUAUUAGUAUAUUAUUGAACAAAUCAUAUAUGUUUAUCAAACAAAAGCGAUAUAUACAUGUAUAAUCGGACCGGAUAGUGCAUAUCCAGUCCAAUAUUCCAUGAAUUUAAGCAUUAGUAGACCACGAGAUGAACUGUAUAAUUAAAACAAAAUUAUUACACAUCAAUUAUUACGUAUAUUGGUAUAGAACACAUGUGAAGCUUUAUAUCAUAUCUUUUUGAAUUGGCUUUCGUAAUUGUUCUGUAAUAUUCUAUUUAGUAACAUCUAAGUCUUUCCAAUUAUGGCUAAUGAAGUUUUAACUUUCAAGCAUGUCCAAGUGAUAUUUUAGUUCUCAUAGCUGAAAAUUAAUUAAUGAUCAGAUUUAAUACACACAAGCGAAAUUUCAUAUAAUAAAGGAUAAUAAAUGAUGUAGUAACUAACCGUAAUAGUGAGAUCAUCUUAGUCAAACUCGUAACACAAUGAGUCGAGUACUUGAAUCUCACUCUUUUGCAUUCGCAACAGCUAAAUACCAAUGUGUGUUAUUCAUAUUUAUUGGAAGUUCAAUCUGUAAAAGACAAUCAGUUAAACUAUGAAUAACAAUGUAUGGAACACAAAACAUGAAAAUUAUGUAUAUGGAUGUUACCAUGUCAUGCUUCACAUAGUUUUUGACAAUCUUUGUCAUAAAGGUACCAUGUUCAUAUAUUUCAAGGUUGCCAUCCUGUUUUAACGGUCCGUUAACAAAAGGAUUCUCAAAAUAUACUUUACUAUCAUUCUGGACAUGCACUUGGUCUUUUAUACAAAGUUUGACCAAAUUUAUAUAUUGAAAAAAAUAUCAGCAUUGUCUACAAUGCUUAAGUUAUAUACCAAAAAGGCUUUCGCCCCGCUUUAUAAAUAAAGCAAACCGUCCAAGAGCACACAUACACGGACUAGUCCAAACACACACACCCAAGUCUCACAAGAGGAAGUACAAUAGGUUCUGCUGAGGGCACAGUUUAAGUUAUAUAGUAUGAAAUUUAAUUUCAUGAUGCAUCUAAUGAAAUUAAAUUUUAUCUAAUAAACAUAUGCAUUUUGUAACGUAAAUGUUGAUUUUUUUCCCUAUAAAGUUGUUCAAAAUUUCCAAAGUUUGACUUCAGACAAAUUUUAUAUGGAAACUAAAAGGAAACCGAAGGAGUACCAAUGAUGAUGAGAAUAAAUGAUGUUUAUUUUUUUAAAUAGAACCUAGCGGAGAGCCUGUCCGGCCGCAGAUCACCAUGUUAGGUUGAUCUCUCUCCCGUUCGAACCCAACGGGUCGAACGGGCCCUUGACUCGCGCCCUGAUCGGGGGCGUCCAACCAAACCAUGGUUGGUGGGCCCUGUGACCCGCGCUAUAUAAACAGAGGUGGGGGCCGGGGCACGACUUACGAGGUUAAUCGCUGCCACAAUCCCCACCUACAAUCCCUACCGAUCUAGGGUUAGCGCGGUGCUCACGGGAAGUUCCACCACCUCGCCCACUCUCCGCCAUCGCCGUGCGCCCCAGCACCACGAUGGCCUCCGGCUCAAGUUCAUCCACUGCCGGACAAGGUAGGUUCACCGGAUCUACUAGCCUACUCCGAUCCAAAGAAUCUAUCAAUGGUAUCAGCCAGAUCGGGCUAGUUGAUUUCGGUACAAAGAAACAAACACAGAAAAAGUCUCUGAAAAUGCAAAAAGAAUUUUUUUAGAAAAUAAAUGUUCAUGAAUUUUAUAAAGAAAAUUAAUAAAGUUCAUGAUUUUAUAUUCGGUCAUAGAAAAGUUUCUGUAAAAAGUAAAAAGUUCGUGAAUUUUUAUUCAUGUUUUUCCGCUGCGUAAAUAAUUAAUGCUCUUUUACAAAGAAAAUAAAAGUUUACAUAGUAUUAAGUUUUUAAGAGCAUGUUAAAGUGAUUAUUAAAAUGAAUAUGAUUAUGUUAUUUUUAUGACCAACGUUGUUAAUAACAUGAUCAUGUUUUAUUAUUGAAAUUUAAAGGUGCAUUUAUUUCUAAUUUUUGCCCAAUGGUAAUAUAGAUUUAAUUGCAUAGACAAUUAUAUGUUUAAUUUGACCAACGUUAGAUUAAUGCAUAUUAUUGUUAUAUUGAUGUCACUUAAAUUGUGAUUUCAGGAGGCUUUCACUUGAUGAGUUGCCUAAAAGAAGUUCCGACACUCAGAGGUGACAACCACACUGAGUGGAGGAAGAAAGUUGAACUGGCGUUUGUUUGUGCUGAUCUUGACUGGGUUGUGGAGAAACCACAGCCGGUCAGACCCACAGAGCCAGUAAGAGAGGCCACUGAUGAUGAUGCUGCAUGGGCUAAAAAGAAAGGGGACUAUGCUCCUUUGGAGCAGUCCUACCUCAUAGAUAAUCAAAAGUGGGUCAAUGCAAAUAAAAAAUGCAUGGCCUUUAUAAAGAACACCAUUGAGAGCGCCAUUGUGGGCUCCAUUGCAGAGUGCACUUCCGCAGGGGAGUUGCUCUCAAAGAUAAAGAACCAGUUCACUGGCUCUUCAAAGAUAUAUGCCACCCAGGUGUUAGAGCAACUGGUGACAGAAAAAUACACAGGUGGUAGUCAUGGCAUAAGAGAGCACAUCCUCAGGAUGAGCAAUAUGGCAGCAAAGCUUAAGCCCAUGGAUGCGGAUCUGGAGAUCAAACCAGCGCUCCUGGUCCACCUUGUCAUGGCUUCACUACCCAAGGAGUUUGAAGCUUUUGUUGUGAACUAUAAUAUGUCACCUGGAACAUGGGACGUUGAAAAGACAAUAGCAAUGUGUGUUCAAGAAGAGGAGAGACUCAAAGCCUCACAUGGUGGUACACUCAACUAUGUGCAGGGUCACAAAAGAAAGAAUUACAAUCAAAACAACAAAAGUUCUCCUUCAAAGCCACAAGGAAAAGUUACCUAUCAGCAUCAGCGUCAGCAACAGCCUUUCUCAGUGGACAAAGACACUUGUCUCCACUGUAAGAAGACCGGGCAUUACAAGAAAGACUGUCCUGUUUGGCUAAAGUCGAUCAUGGCAAAAAGAGGUAACAAUAUAGUUUCAUUUGUAAAUGAAUCCCUGUAUGCACAGUUUUCAAAAUCCACUUGGUGGAUUGACUCAGGAGCAACUGUUCAUGUUGCAAAUUCUUUACAGGGAUUCCAUUCGACGCGGACUACACUAAAAAGCGAAAGACGCAUUGAAGUGGCGAACGGAGUUGAAGCAGAAGUUGAAGCUGUCGGUGAUAUCUCCUUGGAGUUAGCUGAUGGAUUCAAUCUUCUACUUAGAGAUGUUUUAUUUGUUCCAUCAUGUCAUAGAAACUUAAUAAGUGUUUCUUGCUUGGACAAAGAUAAUUAUGAGUGUUAUUUUGGACAUGGCAAGUGUGCCAUUUGGUUAAAUAAUGCUUAUGUGGGUGAUGCUUUACUACAUGAUGAGCUUUAUUUGUUAUCACUUCGUGAAAAAGUUUAUUCCGUUUGCAAUGUGAAAGAACAUGUUUUUGCGUCGAAUAAAGAACAAAAGAAAAGAAAAAGAACAUUUGACUCAUCGAAAUUAUGGCACUGUCGCUUGGGCCAUAUUUCGAAGGGGAGAAUAGAAAGAUUAGUCAAAAGUGAAAUUCUUCCUCCGUUAGAAUUUUCAGACUUAGAACAAUGCAUAGAUUGCAUUAAAGGAAAGUACGUAAAACAAAUCAAAAAAGGUGCAAUCCAUAGCACAGGCACACUAGAAAUCAUUCACACUGAUAUUUGUGGACCAUUUCCGGUGAAAAGUGUGGAUGGAUAUGACUCGUUCAUAACAUUCACAGAUGAUUACUCUCGCUAUGGUUAUAUUUAUCCAAUCAAAGAAAGAUCGGAAGCGUUGGAUAAAUUUAAAAUAUUCAAAGCUGAAGUUGAAAAUCAGCACGAUAAAAUAAUAAAGAUAGUAAGGUCCGACCGUGGGGGAGAGUACUACGGUCGACACACUCCAUAUGGCCAAGUCCCUGGACCUUUUGCGAAGUUCUUGCAGGAGACUGGCAUAGUAGCCCAGUAUUCAAUGCCGGGCGAGCCUCAGCAAAAUGGAGUAGCUGAAAGGCGCAACCGUACCCUUAUGGAUAUGGUGCGCAGCAUGAUGAGUUAUUCCAACUUGCCAUUGGGAUUAUGGAUGGAGGCGCUUAAAACCGCCAUUCACAUUCUCAAUAGAGUACCAAGAAAGUCGGUGCCCAAAACACCGUACGAGCUAUGGACAGGAAGGAUGCCCUCCCUACAACACUUCAGGGUGUGGGGGUGCCCUGCUGAGGCCAAAAUGUUUAAUCCAAACAUUGCAAAGUUAGAUCCCAAAACAUUAAGUUGCCACUUCAUUGGCUAUCCAGACAGAUCAAAAGGUUUUCGUUUCUACUGCCCUGACAGAUAUACAAAGUUUGUAGAAACGAGGCAUGCAGUCUUCUUAGAGGACGAAAUGAUGAGGGGGAGCUUGGUAGCUCGGAAAAUUGAUCUUGAGGAGAAGAGGGUGCAUGCACCUAAUCCGAUGAUUCAGGAGCCAUUUUUCUCACUACCAGUUGCAACUCCACCCAUGACAGCUAUGGGGGAAGACCCGAAACCUGUCCGUCAGGAGCCGACUGAACCCGUUGUUGAGCAUGAAAGGGAGGUGCAAUAGCAAAUUUUAGAAGAAGUGCUAGAAGUUGAGGCACAAAAUGUGCCAGAAACUGAGGCCCUUAGAAGGUCUACAAGACCAAGGAAGUCAGCUAUUUCUACCGACUUUAAAGUUUAUAACAGAGAAAUGGUUCAUAUGGAAAAAGAUCCCACCUCAUAUGAAGAAGCCAUGAGAAGCCCUCAUUCAUCGAAGUGGAUGAAGGCAAUGGAAGACGAGAUGAAAUCGAUGAGUUCCAAAGAUGUUUGGGACUUAGAGGAAAUUCCCAAAGGAGCCAAAACAGUAGGCUAUAAAUGGGUCUACAAAAUUAAGUAUGACUCUAAAGGGAAUAUAGAAAAGUAUAAAGCACGACUCGUGGCAAAAGGAUUUACACAAAGAGAAGGGAUAGAUUACAAUGAGACAUUUUCUCCAGUCUCAUGUAAGGAUUCCUUCAGAAUCAUAAUGGCAUUAGUUGCUCAUUUUGAUUUAGAGUUACAUCAAAUGGAUGUUAAGACGACAUUUCUGAAUGGUGAUUUAAAAGAAAAGGUCUACAUGAAACAACCCAAGGGUUUUAUCAUGGAAGGCAAGGAAAAUAUGGGAUGCCGCCUAAAGAAAUCCAUUUACGGAUUAAGACAAGCCUCUCGGCAGUGGUAUCUAAAGUUUAAUCAAACGAUUAAAAGUUUUGGAUUUAAAGAAAAUAUUGAGGAUAAUUGCAUUUAUGCAAUGUUUAAAAAUGGGAAAUAUAUUUUCCUAAUCUUGUAUGUGGAUGAUAUCCUGCUUGCUAGUAGUGAUGUUAGUCUACUACAAGAAACAAAGAAAUACUUAUCCUCAAAUUUUGACAUAACAGAUCUUGGUGAAGCAUCAUAUGUUUUGGGCAUAGAAAUUCACCGAGAUAGGAACAAUGGAGUCUUAGGACUAUCUCAACAAGCAUAUUUAGAAAAGGUUCUUAAAAAGUAUAAUAUGCAUGCGAGUAAAGCCACACCUGCUCCAAUAGUCAAGGGCGAUAGUUUUGGGAAAUUCCAAUGUCCCAAGAACCAGUAUGAGAUCGAUCAAAUGAAAGCAGUACCAUAUGCUUCGGCAGUUGGCAGCUUACAGUAUGCACAAGUGUGAACUCGCCCUGACUUAGCUUUUAUCACCGGGGUACUCGGUAGAUAUCAAGAGAAUCCAGGCCUAGAGCACUGGAAGAUGGUAAAGAAAGCAUUGCGUUAUGCGCAAGGCACGAAGGACUACAUGCUAAUAUACAGGAGAAGUGAUUCCCUAGAGAUAAAAGGGUAUUCAGACGCAGAUUUUGCGGGGGACAUAGAUGAUAGAAAAUCCACGUCAGGAUACAUAUUCACCCUCGCUGGGGGAGCUAUUUCGUGGAAAAGCUCCAAACAGUCGAUAGUUGCAUCAUCUACGAUGUAUGCAGAAUUCGUAGCAUGCUUCGAAGCCACGGGGCAGGCGAUAUGGCUAAAGAAAUUUGUACCCGACUUGAAAGUGGUAGAUUGUAUUCACAAACCACUAAAGAUGUACUGCGACAACCAGCCCGCGGUAUUUUACGCUCACAACAACAAGUCGAGUAAUGCUGCCAAAACAAUAGAGAUAAGGUAUUAUGUUGUGAAAGAUAAAAUCCAGGAUCAAACUAUAAGUCUCGAGCAUAUAAGGACAAAGGAUAUGCUUGCGGAUCCGCUAACGAAAGGCUUACCACCCAAUGUGUUCAAGGAACACUUAGCCGGCAUGGGUUUAAGGGAAAGCCUUAUGAUUCCUGGAUAGGCCCAAAAGGAACAGAAUUUGUUUCUGAACAUAACGUAUGUUGUAGCUGUAUGAUUCUAACGGCAAUUAAGUCGUGACGAUGAAACAUGCUCUAUGUACCAAUAUGUGAUGAAACAAAUAAACUAGAAAGUAUAAAGUUAAAAGUAAAGUUGAGAUCAAGGGGGAGAAUGUUAGGUUGAUCUCUCUCCCGUUCGAACCCAACGGGUCGAACGGGCCCUUGACUCGCGCCCUGAUCGGGGGCGCCCAACCAAACCAUGGUUGGUGGGCCCCUGUGACCCGCGCUAUAUAAACAGAGGUGGGGGCCGGGGCACGACUUACGAGGUUAAUCGCUGCCACAAUCCCCACCUACAAUCCCUACCGAUCUAGGGUUAGCGCGGUGCUCACGGGAAGUUCCACCACCUCGCCCACUCUCCGCCAUCGCCGUGCGCCCCAGCACCACGAUGGCCUCCGGCUCGAGUUCAUCUACUGCCGGACAAGGUAGGUUCACCGGAUCUACUAGCCUACUCCGAUCCAAAGAAUCUAUCACACCAGAGUGUAUCUUCGUGAACGCCCGCCCCAAGUUGGAGUGAUGUGUUCUUCACAUCCUUCAACGCGGUCGCCAUGGACGAGAAGUCGAGACCCUUCCGCGCGGCCGGUAUGGACCAGGGGUGGUUCUACCCGGAUGCCGCGCGGCCGCCGCCGACGAAGUCCUUCGUCGCGGCCGCCAUGGACACGAGGGCACCAGGAGGCAGGAGUUACGUAUCUGAUCUUUUUUUUCCUUGCAGCUGUUAUACGUAUCUGAUCGUGGAGCAAUGGAAACGUAAAAUGAAGGAGCGGGAUUGAGCAGCUGGGAUCGGAAACAGAGCGGCAGUGGGGUUGCGUGCUUUAAGAUUGGAGUUGGGAUGGACCCGAUCUCAGAAUUUAUUUUCCCAUCUUCUCCGCCUCCGCCUCCUCCUCCUCCGCUGCCUCCACCUCCGCCGAUGGCAGCCGCCACUCCAAGCAAAAGCAGCAAGGAGGUCAUGGCCUUCAACUAUCCCAGAUGCUCAUGCUGAUCCCGCGCUCUGUUAUCAGGGCUACGUUCAACUACGACCUCAGCGCUAUCGGCAAGAUUUUGAUGGCUAACGAUGGUCGUUCGGCCGCGGAACCAAUGGACUACGUAAGGAAGGUGCGCUCAAUUGCUUCUCGUGCCUCUUUAGCUUCUUUUCCUUUCCGAUUUUGAGCUUUCGUUCAACAGAUGUGCGUAUUUUGGAUCGGCUGAAAAUAGUUCAUAGAUCCCAUGAUCGGAGAUAUGUACGAGCUCUUUUAUGAUACCCUGUGUUACAUAUGGGCCGUCAAAUCGUAACAGUGAACGGUUGGGUAUAGCAUGCAUGCGCAGGUUUCUGUCGUGUCGAACUAGCCCACCCCGUCCUUGCCCUCCCAUUACCUUCCCCACCGCGUUCAGUAGGGAAAAAAACUAGGGUUCCGGCCAUGGCCGGCGUGCGCCUGCCAUCUAUGGUGGAUCAGGAGGCUGCCGAGCUAGGCCCCUCUUCCACUCCACCUACGCUGCGCUGCCCUCCCUCCUCUUCCUCCAUGCACGAGGCGCUCGAGGAGGACCCGACGCCACUGAUCCCUAGGGACGCUGUCGUGCUCCGGGACCGGCCGACGCUCACCCGCCAGUGCCCUCACCACGUCUUCUCCACGGAGGUCCCUGCCUGCGCCCUAGGCCGGAGCUGUGCGCCGACCUCCACUCCGGCAGCACGCGUCGCUUGAACCCGGCUUGGCCGCAUCACCGAUUUAAAGCAGCGCUUCUCGCUCACCGGGAACUAGACCGUCGCCGCCAGCCCCGGCGAGGACAGCUGGGCUGGCUAGGUGCAGGGCCUCGGAACCGACGUCUACUGCUCGUCUGCUACAGAGGCUGGUCAUGCUGGGCAGGCGAGGCCAUGGCGGCUGGCCGCCCUGCCCACUCUCUAGGAUUCCAGCCGCUGCCGACAUGCAAGGCAUCUUGAUUUUCCAUGUCAGUAUGUUUGUGACUUGUGUAUUGGCUCAAAGUUAAAUGACUACGAUUUUGAGAACUAGCAGAGCAUUGUUGAAAUAGAAAAUUACUCUCUCUGAUUGUUGUUCUAUAUGAGAAUUUCAUGCUUCUUAUAUGCUUGAGCCAAUUUGGUAGAUGUAAAAUUAGGUAAAUGGAAAGUUUGAUACAGUGAGUACAUUGCGAUUAAGUGUUUGUGCUUUUGUUUGACUUACAGUAUCUAAGAAGAAAGUAAAUAGGUAUUCACUGUAAUGUUCCAUUUGCCUCCGAAAUUCAAGACUUCAUGGCACACUUUUGCUACAGGAUGUGUAGGAUAAGGUAAAUGUUUUUUUUUUCUUUUUUUUGCUAUCUUGUGUUUCUUCCUAUAUGAUGAAAAUCUCUGCUUGGAGGGGAAAUGGUCAGUUGCCACUUUGAACCAUCUCAACUUGGAGGAUUGUAGAUUAUUAUGGGAGAUUGCCUAAAUUUGUCUCUGGACUACUGUAUUAUAGCAGGAUGCACAUGACCCUGAUAGAUUCAUACUAGACGUUAAUUACACAUUUAAUACAUAAACUUUCACUAGACGUACAGAUUCAUACAUAAACUUAAAAAUUGACACGAAUCGGCCAUACAACUUGUGUUUCGGGUAUGUUUGUUUGAGUGCAUUCCUUCAUUUGAGAAAAAGGGUUUCCCCCGCUUUGUAUUCCAAAGCACCGUCGGCACGCGGGAGGGCACAACCUCCACCGUCAACGACGGUAACCGACCGGACACACUAGCAGGAGCCUACCAGGCCCAUGUGCCCACAGGCCCGGCCGGGAACUCCAUUCCCGGAAAGCUCCUGCCAUCGCGCUGCAGCAGGCACGCCAUCGACAUCGCCGCCCCCCAUCCGAGCCGCUCCUCCUCCUCACCACACAGACGACGACGAAGCCACGCCAGGGACAGGCCCGCUAGGACCCAGAUGGGGCCGGGAGGGCCCAGAUCUGGGCCGGGGACGCGCCGCCGGCCACCGCACGCCACCACGCCGCCCUGCUGCCAAUGGCAGCACCGCCACCGCGCCUACCGCCGGCGACCGCUGCCGGGUCGCCGGGCCGCCGCCCAGCUGAGCAUCACCGCCNNNNNNNNNNNNNNNNNNNNNNNNNNNNNNNNNNNNNNNNNNNNNNNNNNNNNNNNNNNNNNNNNNNNNNNNNNNNNNNNNNNNNNNNNNNNNNNNNNNNNNNNNNNNNNNNNNNNNNNNNNNNNNNNNNNNNNNNNNNNNNNNNNNNNNNNNNNNNNNNNNNNNNNNNNNNNNNNNNNNNNNNNNNNNNNNNNNNNNNNNNNNNNNNNNNNNNNNNNNNNNNNNNNNNNNNNNNNNNNNNNNNNNNNNNNNNNNNNNNNNNNNNNNNNNNNNNNNNNNNNNNNNNNNNNNNNNNNNNNNNNNNNNNNNNNNNNNNNNNNNNNNNNNNNNNNNNNNNNNNNNNNNNNNNNNNNNNNNNNNNNNNNNNNNNNNNNNNNNNNNNNNNNNNNNNNNNNNNNNNNNNNNNNNNNNNNNNNNNNNNNNNNNNNNNNNNNNNNNNNNNNNNNNNNNNNNNNNNNNNNNNNNNNNNNNNNNNNNNNNNNNNNNNNNNNNNNNNNNNNNNNNNNNNNNNNNNNNNNNNNNNNNNNNNNNNNNNNNNNNNNNNNNNNNNNNNNNNNNNNNNNNNNNNNNNNNNNNNNNNNNNNNNNNNNNNNNNNNNNNNNNNNNNNNNNGGCGCGCGAGCCGGCGGCCGGCGGCGGCGGCGGAACCCUAGCGGGAGGGAGCGGACGGGAGCCUGCAUUCCUUCAUUUGCCGUUAACUCUCCGUUAAACUUUACACGCCGGCUGGUCGACGCUCCAUGUCUGCAUGUGGGUCUCACCUGUCUGUGGCAAAGGAAGAAAAUACAAACAUAAAAGUACAGUGCACUUAGACGGAACCGAAGUAAUGC
rnacentral:lncRNA from 1 species